CUUUGAUCUCCUAUCAAUGUUAUGUGGCUGUAAAAAGAAAAGUUUGCUUCUCCACAUUAGUCAACUUGUUUGUGCCUUGUACUGCUCCUUGCUGAUUAGUAUUCUUUUUCCCUGUAAAUUUUCCUACCCAGCAUCGUCUUUGCUUGAGCCAAACGGCGUCGUUUUACGCGAUUGAAACAAAAAAAAAAAAGAACAAACAACGUCGUUUUAACCAAGUUUUGGGGUUUGACCCGGGACAAACAUCAACGCCUAUUGAUAAAUACAGUUAGUGUUUUGAGUUUUUUUCAUAAUGACAUUUUCUUUUUCUUUUUCUUUUUUUGGAAAAAAAAAUGAGUCAUCAUUAGUAUUCGUUUUUCAAUUCUUUUUCUUGGUUUUAAAUAAUCUGUCAGUUCGGAAAAAAAUCACACAUCCGGAAGUAAUUGCAACAGAAACUUUAUUAAGUAGACUGCAGGAUUCAGGUGGUAGUUCCGUAUAAUGAAUUAAUAUUAAAUAUUAUGCGACAGAUGGGGGCCAAUUUGAUGGGGAGUCUAACUACUUUGACGUGGAUGCAGCCACAUUCAUACUGAUUCUAGCCACGUGGUAACCUUAUAAUACCAAGCAAGCGGUUGUCUAGGUUAUUUUGUCGUAGCUGAUCAUUGGUGGAAACCAGACAGACAUCAAUAUUAUCAGAGUCUUCUCUCGCUCAAGUAUUUGGUUUAGCUUUACUUACAUAAAUGGUAUUUAAUUUUCAAUUUCCAGGUGGUAAAGUGUAGGUGAUCGUAGACAAAUACAUAUUUUAAGAGUCGAAUAAAAAUAAAUUAAUAAACGGUGUUCGUUAUACAGGUUUUAAAAUAUAAGCAAUAAAAACACAUUAACAACAGGAAGUUUGAUAAAUUAAACAAAAAAUUCUUAUGCAAUUUCAAAUACUCAGCAAACUCCAAACUGCUAUGAAAUGUACCAAAAAAAAAAAAAAAAGGAAAAAAGUACAUGUAAAACUUUUGAAAUGAAAUUCUUAUUGGAAAUAGAUUACUUUUCUUCAAAUGCUGGUUUAAUUAGGAAAUAUCUUCUUCUUCUUUCUUUCUUUCUUUCCCUUUUUUUUCUUUUUUUUUUUGGAAAGAUGGGAAAUAUCAAAAUCAAACAAUCAACAAACCCUUCAAGGAUCUUCAUUUUUUUAAUGCAAAAAUGUUAUUAAAUUAUAUGGUUUAAUAGAGUCAGUAUAAACGUGUUAUUAAACCACAUAGUUUUAUGGUGAAUUAUACACUAAUUAUAUCAAACCAUAUAAUUUAAUAACGUGUUUAUAUAAAAAAAUGAGGACACUUGCACAUGAGAAAAUAUAUAUAUAUAUAUAUAUAUAGAGAGAGAGAGAGAGAGAGAGAGAGAGAGAGAGAGAGAGAGAGAGAGAGAGAGAGAGAGAGAGAGAGAGAGAGAGAGAGAGAGAGAGAGAGAGAGAGAGAGAGAGAGAGAGAGAGAGAGAGAGAGAGAGAGAGAGAGAGAGAGAGAGAGAGAGAGAGAGAGAGAGAGAGAGAGAGAGAGAGAGAGAGAGAGAGAGAGAGAGAGAGAGAGAGAGAGAGAGAGAGAGAGAGAGAGAGAGAGAGAGAGAGAGAGAGAGAGAGAGAGAGAGAGAGAGAGAGAGAGAGAGAGAGAGAGAGAGAGAGAGAGAGAGAGAGAGAGAGAGAGAGAGAGAGAGAGAGAGAGAGAGAGAGAGAAUUCUUUUAUAAUGAGGAUAUCGUCACUUUGUUGAAGUGAGGAUGUCACUAAAGUACCACAAAAAAAAAAAUUCAAAGUGAGGAUGGCCUAUUGAGGCAUUAUAAGUUAAAGUUUUUAUCUUUAUUUUAUCCAAAUAUACAAAUAACUUAUUUUUAGUGUUGGAGAAAACAACCAUUUAAAAAUACAAGAAUAACUUAAAUAAGUUAUUAUUUAUACAGUCAUUAAAAAUAAAUAAUUUUUUUAUUUUUAUUAAAAUCAAGUGAAAUUUAACUCAAUAGAUGACACGUCCGUUUGUCUAUUAAACGAAUUAAUGACAUUUCGUCAACCAACUUAAAAAUAACACGAUAUUUCAUUUUAUGAUUUUAUGACAAAAUAUAAAUGAUGAAUCAUCUAUUUUAAUACGAAUAUCGCAAACAAAAUGUUGUUGUUGUUGUUGUUGUUCUUUUUUUGAGUGAACGAUGCAUCGGGCAUAAAGAAAAUUAUAAACGACGAGUCGUGUAUAUGAUAUGCCACAUAUCUCUUACGCUUGUCCUUUAUGCAAAUAUAUUAGACGGCAUGUUGACUUUGGAUUUUUACAGAAAUGACAUAUCAAGUAUGAUCAAAACGAUAAAUGACAAAUCAUCUAUGACUUGAGUGCCGGUUAAAAUUUAAAGUACUUGAUGUAAUGUCGUUGCUAAAUAAAUGACUUGUUAGAAUUUUAUAAUGUUAGUUUUGGCCAAAAUGAAUUCUAAUUAUUAUAAGGUAUCCUUAUACCAAUAAUAGGUACAGAUAUUAAAUCGAGGUAUCCUUUCUAUAACAAUUCAGAAUAGCUAAACAAGAAGGUAUAUAUAACUUGUUCAAUGUGGUCAUGAAGCGUGUCGAGAUAAAAGGCUCCUGAUUUCUAAGUUCCAACACAUAUAUCCAAUCACUCGGGCAGUAGCCCGAGUGGCCAGGGCUGCUGCCCCCCAACUUGGAGGGCAGCAGUUCGAACCCCCACAAAAGCAUUGUGGGGGUAUUUCCUUCUUCAAUUAAUUUGAGUGAAGGUAGUCUUCUCCCUUACCCAUGAGUGAGGAGUAGACAUCCCUCGAAUAUUUGUGAGGGUUAAAAUCUGGGCAGAGCUCCAUUAGCAUUGAUGUCAGUUGGUCCCAGUAAUAGUCUGAUUUGUAAAUAUCAGUAAUAGUCUCAUGUAUAUGAGUUGUAAUCUGAGCAAUAGUCUCAUGUAAUAAAAAAAAAAACACAUAUAUCCAGAAUUUCUGGAGUUUGCAAUUACCAACUUGAAAGAAGGGAAGUUAGUUUACACAGAAGAUAUAGCUCAAGGCCUGCCUCGAAAAUGCUUCAUCUGCUCUAGCUCGAUUUUCCACGAUGGCAAUAAUGGUAAGCAAGUUAUUCCUCUAGCUACUGAAUAAGUAUACACGAUAAAAUAGGAUGAGAUGAGAUGCGAUGAGAUAUGAUUACAUUAUAAUUUAUAUUACCUUGUGUUUGGUGUAGUUCAAGACUACAUUAGAUUUUAACAAUAAUUUUAUUAUUAAAAAUAAUUAAUAAUAAAUAAAUAUUUAUUUAAUUAUAAUUUAAUUGAAUUAUUUAUGACUUGCAAAUGAAAGUUCGCUUAAUAUUAAAUAAAAAAGCUUCUUUAUUUUAAAAUAUUUUUACUGCUGUACGGCCAAGGCGGAUGUACGGUACAGCAGAUUUAUUUAUUUUUAUUUAUUUUUAUUUCUUUUUAAUAUAUUCUUUUAUUAAUCUACUAUUUUUUGUGUGUGUUAUUUUAUCUAUUUUGAAAUCAGCAGUUAAAAUAGUAUUACAAUUUAAUAUGAAAAAUGGAUUAUAAUAUUAAAAAUAUUAUUUAAAUAAAUAAGUUAUUUAUUUAUUUUUAACCUUUACAAAAUACAUAUUUUGUAUUAUUAUUAAUUAAAAAUAGAUUAAUUAUUGUUUAAAUUGAGGUGAAUGAAAUUAUUUAAGUAUAAAUUAAAAUUUCAUAAAACAUUAUUUUAUUUAUGAAAUGUAUGUGCUAAAAAUAAUCAUAUUAAAUAAUUUAUUUAUUUUAAUAAUUUAAUGAUGAAUUAUAUAAUUUUUUUGUUGUAUAACAAAACAAGUAUUCAUUUACUAACAUUAUAAGAGCUUUUCACUAUUUUGGGGAUUAAUGGGUCAGUUUUACAUAGGACCCACAACUUUUAUACUCACUCCAUAACCUUACUAAAUAUGGGAUAAGCUUUAGAUUAGACAAAAAUUAUCUAAUCCCAAGAGUUAUCCCACAUACCAAACAAACAUAAUGUUGCUAAAUUUAGGGUGUAUUUACUUAUAGGAGUAGAGAAUCAGAAUUUGAAAUAUAAAUGAUUGAUUGUGCUUACUUGUUAAAGUAGAAGGAAGAAUGCGAAUAAAAUAUGAGACUCCCACAUGUUUUUAGAAUUAAGAAAUGAGAACUUGAUUCUCAUGGGGUUGGGAAUUAAGUUCUCAUUCCUUGAACACCCCAUUAUACCUCCACUGAAUUUUCAUAAUUUUCAAAUUGUCCUCAAUUGAGUUUUGUCACCUUUACAUUUUAGUCCUUGUAGAAAUUUUAUAAUAUUACAAAUUUGUCCUUCAUUAUUUAUUUAUUUAUUAUUAUUAUUCAUAAAUAAAUAAAUAAAUCAUCAUCAUCAAUAUUAUUCAAAUUUAUUAAUUUUUAAUUAUUAUUAACAAUAAUUAUUUUGAAAAAUAAUAAUCAUAAGCACAAUUAUUAUUAAUAAAUGAGGACAAUAAUCGACUAAGUUUAUUUUAGUAACAUGUAAUAACCCAUUCUGAUUCUAAAAUAAAGUAAAUACAUUAAAAUUUACCACCACCACUACUACUACUACUAUUGUUAUUAUGAUGAUGAUGAUGAUCAUCAUUACCGUACUGCAGAUUAUUAUUAUUAUUAUUAUUAUUAACAAUAAUCAAUACUAAUAAUAGUUUUUGAAUAAUAAUAAUCACAAUAAUUAAAAUAUAAAAAAAUAAUUAUGACAAUAGUUAAUUAAGGAUUUCUUAGUAAUUUUUAACAAUUUAAUUCAUUUCGAUUUUGAUUUAAGACGAAGUAAACACAUUAAUGGGGCAUUUUGUAUAGAACCCACAAUUUUAAUACUCACUUCACAACCUUACAAAAAAUCAGAUAAGCUAGCUUGAGAUUAAACAAAAAUUAUGCAAUCCGAAGAGUUAUCCUAAAUACCAAACAAGACAUAAUGCUGCUAAAUUUAGGGUGUGUUUACUUGUAGGAUCAGGGAAUUAAAAUCUAUAAUGGAAAUGAUUGAUGAUAUUUACUUAUUAAAAUAAGAGGGAGACUGAAAAUGAAAAAUGAGGAGCCCAUAUGUUUUUGGGAUUAAGGAAUGAGAGUUUGAUUCCCAUAAGAGAGUUGGAAAUCAAGUUCUCAUUUCUUGAACUUUCCAUUUUACCCCCACUAAAUUUUCAUAGUUUUCAAAUUGCUCUGAAUUAAGUUUCAUCACUUUUUCAUUUUAGACCUUACAAAAGUCUUGUAAUAUUGCAAAUAGGUCCUUUAUAAUAAUAAUAAUAAUAAUAAUAAUGACAUCAAUAAAUAACAACAACAACAACAACAAUGAUGAUUAUUAUUGUUGUUGUUGUUGUUUUUGUCAUUAAUGUUAUUAUUAUUAUAAGUAAAAUUUAUUAUAAUUAUUAACAAUAAUUAUCUUGAGUAGUAAUAAUCAUAAUCACAUUUAUUAUAAAUAAGGACAAUGAUCAACUAAGGUCAUUUUAAUAACUUUAAUAAUCCAUUCCGAUUCCAAAACAAAGUAAACAUAUUAAAAUAAUUUAUUAUUAUUAUUAUAUUAUUAUUAUUAAAAGUACUAUAAUUAAUUAAUGUAUUAUUAUUAUUAUUAUUAAUUAUUGUUAAUAAUAAUAAUAAUAAUUUUUCAAUAAUAUUAAUCACAAUAGUUAAUUAUGGACUCCUUAUUAAUUUGGAACAAUCUAACUCAUUAUAAUUCUGAUUCCAAAAUAAAGUAAAUAUAUCAAGGACAAUACAACUCAUUCCGAUUUCGAUUCCUACAGCUCAAGUAAAUAUCUUAUUCUGAUUAUAAUUCCUCAUUUUGAUUUCAAUCCAUUUCGAUUUUUGUUUACUGAUUUUUGUUUAGUAAACGCACAAUUAAUAGCUUUGAAUUGCAGCCUCAGGAUGUUGGGCGCUUUUAGAAUCUUAGAAAUUAGUCCUCUUGUUAUCACUUAAUUGAAAUAUUUUAUGUUUAGGAUUCCAAAAAUUAAUAUUUACCUUAGGACUUCAAUAUAUAGUAAUCUACAUAUUAUGCCUUUUUUUGUUUUUCGGGGUGGGGGAGGCUGCUGUACCGUACAUCCGCCUUGGCCGUACAGCAGAUAAUUAUUAACAAUAAUUAUCUUGAGUAGUAAUAAUCAUAAUCACAUUUAUUAUAAAUAAGGACAAUGAUCAACUAAGGUCAUUUUAAUAACUUUAAUAAUCCAUUCCGAUUCCAAAACAAAGUAAACAUAUUAAAAUAAUUUAUUAUUAUUAUUAUAUUAUUAUUAUUAAAAGUACUAUAAUUAAUUAAUGUAUUAUUAUUAUUAUUAUUAAUUAUUGUUAAUAAUAAUAAUAAUAAUUUUUCAAUAAUAUUAAUCACAAUAGUUAAUUAUGGACUCCUUAUUAAUUUGGAACAAUCUAACUCAUUAUAAUUCUGAUUCCAAAAUAAAGUAAAUAUAUCAAGGACAAUACAACUCAUUCCGAUUUCGAUUCCUACAGCUCAAGUAAAUAUCUUAUUCUGAUUAUAAUUCCUCAUUUUGAUUUCAAUCCAUUUCGAUUUUUGUUUACUGAUUUUUGUUUAGUAAACGCACAAUUAAUAGCUUUGAAUUGCAGCCUCAGGAUGUUGGGCGCUUUUAGAAUCUUAGAAAUUAGUCCUCUUGUUAUCACUUAAUUGAAAUAUUUUAUGUAUCUAGACUAAAAAAAAUGAGGGAGUGCAGUUCAUAAACAAUCAUUAAAUAACCAAUAACUAACUCUUAAGGGAGGUAGAUGAAAAAGGUGGAACUCAAGGGUACAGAGCCAUUCCCACAAAGAAGUUAUUAGCAAAAUUUGCCUCUUUGUACACAUGAUGUACUAAAACAUGCCAUUAGCAGGUUUUUGAUGCCCCAAAUCAAAGUGAAAAUAGCAUUAUGGUGAGCAUUGGAAGCAACUAAGAUUUAUUUGAGUAAUCCGCAGGUUAUGCUUUAAUAGCUACAUAUACAAUUUGCUUGCUUUCGUCCAAUUAAUUAGACAACUUUUCGACAGAAAUAUAUUUUAUUAUGGGAGAAGCACCAAAGGCAUUCUCAUUAUCUUGAGCUACAAAAUCCUGAAUUGGGAUUUUUUUUUUCAUUUUUUUUAUGGAUAUCAUGACAUGAUAGUUGUUAAUUUUAUUAUAUAAAUUAAAUAAAAAUCUAAAAUGAUGAAUGCUUUAAUUGAAAUUUAAUCUAUUUAUAUUGUGGCCCCCCAAGUUCUUCAUUCUAGCUAGUGUUCAUAGAUAAACCAAAAUCUUCAUUCCUCAAUCCUGCAUGAACAUGUUCAAAUACUAUCUUCAAGAAAUUUUUAAUUUAAAAACAGAAAAAAGUAAACCAAUCGAAUUACACUUAUUAGGUAUUUUCAACCGUUAAGGAAUGAGCUUAAUUGUUGGUGUAAAUUCGCAAAUACCUACAUACGUGAAUGAGACAUGGACAUGGAGUUGGCAAUAUCCCCAAGCACGUACUUUUGAACUUUCCCGGUAGCUGUCUUGGGAAGCUCAUCUAUGAACACCACAGUCUUGGGCACCAUGUAACGCGGGAUUCGAGCUCUACAAUACUGUAUUAUGUCCUUCUCUGUUGUCAUCAUGCCCCCACUGUCAGUCCCAGUCUUCAAAGACACAAAAGCACACGGGAUUUCCUGCCAAAACGGGUCGGGUCGACCCACCACCGCUGCUUCGUUAACCAUUGGAUGUGAAUACAGUACCGACUCUAUUUCAGUACUGCUUAUGUUCUCUCCCCCGCUUAUGAUCACAUCCUUUGAUCGAUCUUUAAUCUCUAAGUAACCGUCAGGAUGCAUCAUACCAACAUCACCUGUAUAAUACCGCCCAUCUUUCAUGCAUUUAGACGUCGCUUCUGGGUCUUUUAGAUAGCCUAACAUUAAAGAUCCUCCUCGCAUCACGAUCUCGCCACGUGUCUGUCCAUCUCGUUUCACGCUCAGUCCUGUCUCGGGAUCAACGAUGUCCACUUCAGUCAAUCCGAUGGUCCUUACUCCUUGCCUUGCCUUCAGGCUUGCUCUUUCACGGGCGGGUAAUUUGUUCCAUUUGGGUUUCCAUGCACAUGAUACAUUGACACCAGCUAUUUCAGUUUUCCCGUAACCGUGACUCACUAUGAAACCCAGUGACUCAGUUCUCAACAGCACCGGUGCUGGCGGAGGAGAACCGGCGGUUAGGAUGCGGACAGGGCGGUCGAGCUGUUUAGCUUCUGGAGAACUUGACAGCAAAUUGAGCACGAUAGGGGCGCCGCACAUGUGUGUGACACCAUGUUUCCUAAUCAAUGCAAAGACGGUGGGCGCGUCAAAUUUACGGAGACAAACAUUUGUUGCGCCAACAACGGCUGCACCCCAAGUGAAGCUCCAUCCAUUGUUGUGAAACAUGGGUAGGGUCCACAAAAGAACCGACUGUUUAGGAACUACCCAAUCGAUCAGUGAGUCGACGGCUAUAAUGAAAAACGCCUUGUAACAUUGAACAACUCCUUUUGGAGCGGAAGUUGUACCCCAUGUGUAGUUCAAAACCAUGGGGUCCAAGUCACUUUUGGGCCGGACCCAACUGAACUGGGGAUCACCUUUUGCCAGCAUGUUUUCGUAUGUGUCAACAAAAUCGACGGGUGGGAUCCGGGGUGGUGGCGAGGAUGAUGAUGAGAUCUCCUUAUCAUCAGUGACGAGGACGAGUUUCGGGGUUUUGGAAUGGGGAGGAAACAAAGAGACAACUUCGAGAAGAAGAGAGCUUGAGAGAUGGUCAACAAAAACGAGCUUUGACUCGCUAUGUUUAAGGAUUAUUGAUAUAGUGCGGGCGUCAAGGCGUGUGUUGAUUGUGUUGAAAAUUGCGCCGGACAUAGGCACAGCAAAAUGGAGUUCAUACAUGGCCGGGAUGUUGGGGGCAAUCACGGAAACCACGUGGCCAGGAUUAAUACCAAAGGAGGAUAGUGAUGACGCCAACUGGAGGCACCGACGGUAGGUUUGUGACCAUGUGUAAGUGGUGUCGUUGUAAAUAAUAGAGGGACAAUCAUCACAGGCAGUAGCUGCUCUUUCAAUAAACCCUAAUGGAGUAAGGGGGCAAGAGUUGGCAGGGUUUGGUUUCAGUCGAUCCAUUGAGAGAAGAAAGCAAAAUGCAGGUGAAUUGAUUUAGUGAUUAUAUUUAGUAUUGGUAGUACUAGUGUAUAUAUGUUUAUGAUGUGUUUGUUUGAGAUUGAGGCAUGCUUCUUCUAUAUAUAGAAUUUUGAGCCUUACUUACAACGACCAGUGUUGCCAUUACAAAUUUGGGCGGUGAUCGAUUAGGAUACAUCAACGACCAAAGGUACAUAUAUUUUUGGAAUGGUUAUGUUUUUGCUCUGAUUAUUACUAUUAAUUAAAUACCAAACCAGGACUGAAUGCAGGUACUAUAUUCAUUUAUGCAUUUUAAAAUAAUUAUUAUGACACUAUAUUACGACUGGCACAUGUAGCUUGUUCCUAAAUAAUUUCAAACGUAAGGUGUUGAGUUUUGACUACCAACAUGCUUCUCAGAUAAUGAACUGAGCAUGCAUACCAUGUGAUCCAGGUGUGUGACUCUUCGAUAUAAUCAAGCAAUAAGAUAUAAGCCUACGGGGAAUUCUUGAUUUGAUAUAACCAGAUGGAGCUUUAAUUUAUCUCUUGGUAGCUGGCUGGUUGGCUAGCUCCACACAAUUAUAUUUCGAUUACUUUUCGAAUUAGAAAAUUAGAAUUUGGAAUUGGUAUCAUUUAUAGCGUUUACUUUAUAAAAUAAAGUCAAGAAUCGAAAUCGAAAUCAUGGUUUGUGGAGCCCAUCACAAUUUGAGAAUGAGGAAUGGUAGACUCAUUUCCAAGGGGAGGUGGGAAUGAGUCCCAUUUCCAAUAUUGACUAUUUUGUCCUCCUCCAAAAUUAAAAAUACCCAUAUUGUCUUAAUUUAUAAUUAAUUAAUAUAUUAUUCUGCUGUACGGCCAANNNNNNNNNNNNNNNNNNNNNNNNNNNNNNNNNNNNNNNNNNNNNNNNNNNNNNNNNNNNNNNNNNNNNNNNNNNNNNNNNNNNNNNNNNNNNNNNNNNNNNNNNNNNNNNNNNNNNNNNNNNNNNNNNNNCCGUACAUCCGCCUUGGCCGUACAGCAGUAUUAUUAUUAUUAUAAUUAAUUAUAAUAAUUAAUUAAUUAAAAUAUUUAUAAUUAAUUAAAAUAUUAAAAUAUUAUUGGCAAUAAUUAUUAAGAACAAUAAUUUUUGAAUAAAUAAUCACUAUAUGACAAUAAUUCAUUAAGCAUUUUUUUAGUAAUUUGUUACAAGUUAACUCAUUCCAACUCUAAGAUAAAAUAAAUACAUAAAUGAGAUUUCAACCCAUUCCGAUUCCGAUUCAUGUAUGUCAAAUAAACAACUUAUUAUAAUUCCCAUUUCUCAUUCCGAUUCCAGCUUAUUUCGAUUCCAGCUCAUUCCGAUUACUGUCAAAUAAACCCAGCAUUAAAUUCUACACAAGAUACAACUGAGAUGGCAAUUGGGUAACUAUUCGGUUGCAUAAUUUGCAUACAAAUAUAAAUUAUGUGAUUGUCAACGGCUUUCAACUGAAAAUUUUGAAAAUACAUUGAAGGAUUACCAUAUCGUCAAUAUAAUCAUUAAAUAAUAUUCCUACUAUUAGACAUUAAUAUCCAUCCAUGAUAUCAUGCAAACUCAUAUUCUUCAUUGUGCAUGGUUGCAACAUAGAAUAAAUAAUAGUCAAAUACACCAGUGUAUAAGAAGUCAAUAAAAGUUUGCCACACAUGAUGCAUAAACCAAAAAAAAGAAGAAAUUAAAUCGUUCACGUAAUGCAGGAUCUAUAGAUAUAUGAGUUCUACUCUAAUAAAGAAUCUCUUGUUUCAAUAUAGUAAAAAAUAAUUUAAAAGACAAAAGAAUAUAAAUUUUUAUCGUACAAAAUAUAUAUCUUUUUAGCGUAUUACUUUAUGGUCAGUGACAUCCUUUUCUUUCGAUCAUCUCCGCUAUCUUGUUUCUCAAUAAAAUGCUGCCGCCACCUCAUGCUGACUUCAUUAACAAUAUUUAUGUUUUUUUUUGUUGAAAUCACCGGCCCCAAGUUCUUGGAGCAAGUCUAUUUUCUAACCUAUUUUAAAACUACACAAACGGAAGCAGUGAAAUAUUUUGAAGAAAAUUUGGCAGUGUCUCUCCUUUUUAUUUUUCCCCACUUAUAAACCUUUAAAUAUAGCGCUUCAAUCAUAUUUUUAACUCUAAUAUACAUGUUAAUGAAACCUUCAAUCAUAUUUCCAAUCCUCAUUUUCUAUUUUGCAAGAACAAAAACUAUACAUAUAUAAAGAAAAAAAUUUGGCGAGUCUUCGUAACAGCAUAAUUUUUAUUUGGCUCCGGGCCUCCGGCUAAGUUGGAUCAUCUUCAAUUUUGGAGUCAACUAACUGCAGCCGUUGGAUCCCUACGCUGUUUUUCAACCGUUAAGAUUAUUAAUAUAAAUGUUAGGCGACCAGGUAAAAUGGUUGUUUUUCCACUUCCUCAUCUUCAUCCUCCUCCUCCCCACCUUUACUAUUCCUAUUUUGCCCCCAACUUUGUUGAUUCCCUAACAUACCCUUCACCACUUCCCUUCAUCGACAAGCUCACCAACAGAAACCCACUUCCCCAGUGCCGCUAAUGAACAAAACGUCGGAUUUGAUUACCAACUGAAUGAAUGUUAAUCAAUGAAACAAACGAGGGUGCCAGUGCUGUUGUUUAGUCAAGAAACAAGCCACCGAAUCCAAACGGGUUAUGAUCAUGAUCAGAGGGUAACUCUGAUUUGAUCAAGUGGGUAGCUAGGCUGAAGCUUAAAGAAUGAUCUUGACCAUACAUUGCAGCAGCUAGUAGUAGUUGGUGAUGCGUAUUGCUUUAACACAAGAAGAAGUGACAACAUUAGAUGUUGGGUGGGAUCAUAUAAAGGAGAGACAGAUGUGUGAAGCAGAAGAAACAAGAAAGAAUUUUAGAAUAUGAAAUAUGUUUUUUUUAUUUGAUUUUUCUUAAAUCAAUUAAGUGUGAGAAUGAGAGUGUUGUUGGUGUGAGUGUGACCACCGUGUUCACUAUGCCAAUAAGCGAGCCCUUAAACAUCAAUGCUUCUCUUCUUCAUCCUUCUCUAUUUAUCGAAAUGGAAUCAGUAACUUUUGUAGAGGUGCCCCGUUUCCAUUAGACGUCGAUUUUCUAAAUAUGUAAUCUUCACUCUUACUUUAAAAGUGACUGUCCAACGGCUAUAGUUAGCUGGCUCUAAGUUGGAGAUGACCUAUCUUAACUGCAGCCUUUUUUUUUUUUUUUUUUUUUUUUUUAGAAGUGUUUAUUCUACACUAAUUAAAUUACUGUAUUUCAUAUAUAUUUAUAAUUACUAUUAUAAUAGUAUUAUAUUAAUAUUUAUAAUUAAAUAUAUAUAAUUAAAAUUUAUAUUAUUAUAUUAAAUUUUAUAAAAUAUAUGUACAAACAAAAUAACCCGAAGGAAGGAAGGAUAUCCCUGUUGAUUUUAUGAGAAAAUUUAUCAUACCCAUUUUCCCAUGGUAACAAAGAAAUUGGGAAACACAAAAUUUUCUUUUUUUUUUUCAAUUUAUCUCUCAUUAUUCAUGGGACCCAUCACUACUUUUACAGCUUUUCUUACUUCACUGUCUGCGGUCCUGCAGUAAAAUUAAUAUCGUUUCCUCUCUCUUUCAUUUUAUCCACUUUAUGGAUAAACAAAACGGAUGAAACUAUAAGUAUGAAAAUAGGUUCCUUUCAUUUUCUCUCUCUUAGGUUUAGGUUCUUUUCCUUUGUCUAGACACCAAAACUAUCUCAAUGGCUGAUGUCGAGGAGGUUCAGAACGGAGCUGCACCGGCGAAGACGGCUGUUCCUGCUGCUUCCACGGCCAACUUCACGGGGAUGAAGCCGCAGUUGCUUGUGGAAGCACCGAAGGCUACUGACGUUGUUCUGUUCUACAAGACCGCGUUUGGUGCCUUGGAGAUUGGCUGUAGCAUGGAAACCAAACGCAAGGCUGAACAGGUGUUUAACUCGAGAUUGCCACUCCACUUUCCUUGUCUCUGACCUUUCGAUGAUUCUGCUGCUGUUAAGAAUGUGGGAACCGGAUGCACGCUCUGCUUGGAGACUGAGGACAUUGAGGCUGCCCUCGCCAAGGCUGUGAGUGCUGGAGCUGUUGCUAAGGGUGAGCUAGCUGAAGGCAACAGCGAGCGUUAUGGUGGGCGCGUGGGAAAGGUCAACGAUCCUUAUGGUUUCACAUGGCUCAUUUGCUCUCCGGUCAAGAAAUGCGCUGAGGUUGAAGCUUGAGAGCAGCCUGAUCUGAUCUUUAGAUAUUGAUCUACGAUCACAUGAAUCUCUUUUCUCGUUCUUCUUUAAUGCUUUGGGUUAGGCAAUGUAUAGCUGUAGGCUUGAUGAUAUCGCUGAAUGUUGAUCAUGAUGAAGAAACUAACUAGAGUAAAAGAAAAAAAAAUUGAAUGGGUAAUGAUGGGAUUAGUAGCAGUUGCUAUUUCCUCAAUUUUAUCCCCUUUUUUUUUUUUUUAGAAUUUUAAGGAAAUAUCAAUAAUUUAAAGAGAAUAAAAUAAUCAUUUUAGUUACUUAUGAAAUUAUAAAUAUUUAAAAUUAAUAAGGGUAAAAAUGCAUAAAAAAUAUAUUUGUGAUUUUCGCACCAAGAAUCUUAAUUUUUUCUUUUUAUCUAUAUCAGUACUGUUACCAGGAGUAAUAUCGUUUUUCCAAAAUCAACCACCAGUCAAUAGAAAAUUUAUCUAAUGGUGGGGGGAUUUUUAUAAAUAAAACGAUAUCGGCCAUUUACUUGAAACAGCCCAAACCUCAGGGAGGCUUUUAAAAAUUAUCCUAAUUAUUCUUAUAUACAAACAAUCAAACACAUUCUCAUUUUUUUUCAUUUUCAAAUAUUUUUUAAAGCCAAGUUACCAAAUAUAUUUCUAAACUUACCAAAAACUAAUCAUUCUUAUAUUAUAAAAUAGAUACAAAAACACCAUCUCUCAUCCUUUGGCUUGCUGCGAAGGAAAGAAUUAAAUGCAAAGCCGAGCUCUAUAGAAGACAUAUUGGGGUGGAUAUGAUAUGCAUGCGCUGUGGUUAUGCUGUAGAGGAUACGGCUCAUGCUCUUCAUGACUGUGCCACAUCUAGGAGAAUCUGGAAUAUGUUGUUAAAAGGUCGUGAGACGGCUUCUUUUUUCACGUUGCCAACCCGUGAUUGGAUUUUUGCCAAUAUUCAAGGUAUGGGUAAUCAUGGUAGCAAUCGAGAAUGGAGUUGCAUAUUCGGGGUAGCCAUCUGGUGUAUAUGGGUGGCAAGGAAUCAGUUGCUUUUUGAAGAUAAAGUUGUGAAUGUGGAAAGCAUGGUUCGGGAUAUCAGGGUACGAGCUGAGGAGAUAAUUCAUACUUCUGAGGCUUUUCAAAGUGAUAAAGGGCUGAGAGUUCAAAACAUGUUUGGUUGGUUGCCUCCUCGAUGGCCGUAUUAUAAAUUAAACUCUGAUGGUGCUAGGAAAGGAUUUGGUUUGGCGGGUGCAGGGGGGUUGAUUAGAGAUGCUACUGGUAGAUGGCAUGGUGGAUUCUGCAUGAAUAUUGGUAUUUGCUCGGUAACAAUUGCAGAACUUUGGGGUUUGUACCAGGGUCUGAUUUUGGCUUGGCAAAUGGGUAUAAGAUUGUUGGUGGUGGAGAUUGAUAGCCUUUGUGUUACUCAGCUGCUAAACAGGAAAAGCCUUAAUGCUACCUUGCCCCUUGUCAAUGAUAUUCUUGGUCUUCUUUCCCGUGAUUGGCAGGUGUCUGUCCACCAUGUUUAUCGCGAAGCUAAUUUCGCGGCAGAUUUCAUGGCUAGUCAUGCACUUACUCUCCCUCUUGGCCUUCAUUAUUUUACUACCCCUCCCCUGGGCGUCAAGACCUGGCUUCGGAAUGAUGGGUUAGGAACGGCGUUUCCUCGUGUUUUUAAACCUUAGCUUUCGCUGAGGUUCUUUAUUUUAGCAAAAAAAAAAAAAAGACCUCAAUGUUAACAUGUGCUGUGCAAUUCAAAAUCAAAAUUCUCAUGUCAAGAUUAGAUGAAUGAAAUAAAUUGUAACAAAUUAAAUAAAAUAGUCCAUAGAAUUAUUUUGUGCCACAGAUUUUUUAUCAAAUUGGUACUAACUUGUCUAGUUUCUGUAAUUUUCUGACGGGAGAAAAAAUUAAUAAAACGAAAUGGACAUAAACUCACCAAGUUACUGGAUAUUAACAGAUCGAUUUGCUAGGCACUCGGUAUUAACAAAGAUGACAAAAGAGUACGGGCUCGGCAAAGCUUGGCCAGGCAAAGCCUGGUAUUUGAGUGGGUGAGGCCGGCUUGACCAGCACAGGCUUUGCAAAGAGCCUAGCCCAGAAUAAGUUGCAAAAAGAAAAUUAAAUUUUUUUAGCACCCGUAAAAAUUUAGACAUACCCUUAGAUUAAAAAAGCUAAAAAUAUAUGAAUUAAAAAUGGAGAGGCUAUUUGAAUCGAUUAAUUUCCUUUCAAUAUCUACUUUUUUAAUUUAAAUAAUCAUGAAAUUGUAACUUAUUAUUUUAAUUCAUUAAUUCUCAAAAAUCACAAAAUUAUCCUUAUCAAUUACUCUCUCUUUCUAUUGUAAUAAUGGUAAAAAAACUAAAUUAGUUUCUCUCUCUUUUAUUUUUUCUUUUCUUAUUCUUUCUUGCUACAUCAACUAUUAUCAUUCUCUAAGCUUUCAAUAUAACUACUAUUUAGUCAAUAGUAAUCAGGGACGGCAAUGGAGUGGAGAGGCCUACCCCAUUGCCAGUCCAUUAAAAAUUUCAUCUCUACUCUUUAUCUCAUUUCUCAAUAAAUUUAGUAAAGUGUGGAUGAAUAAUCCCCAUAUGGGCAAUGGGGAUGAGGAAUCUCCAUGUCGAGAAUGAUUUCCCCAUCCACACAUCAUUCCCCAUUUAUUUAUUUUAUAGUAGGCAUGGAUACUUGAUUUUGGUAAAAGAACGUUAGAGACUUAAAUAAAAUCAUCACCAUAUUAAUAAAGUAAUUAAAUUAUUAAAAAAAUCUUCAAAAGUUUGAAACAAUAUCUUGAAAUAAUAUCAAAAUUAUAAAAUGUUUAAAGAGAGUGGCACCUUAAGAUAGAAAAAAAAAAGUAUGACGGUAUUUUAAGAUUGAAUAAGAAUUAUAUUGUAGGAUUUUCUUUUAGUUAUAACUUACUUGUAUUAGGAAAAGAAUAAAAAGAAAAUUUAUUAACCAAUUUUGUAAUUGAUUUAAAAAUAUUAAAUAAAAAUUAAAAAAUAUUUACAUAUAAUAGGGUUUGAGAUGAAGUUAAAUAGAGUACAAAACCAACCCACUCCAUCAAGAAUUUGAGAAUUACUUUUCUCCCGUCCUUAAAAAUUAUUUAAAAUUCAUGUCAUUUGAAGUGGGGCCUUAAGUCAUGGAGGAUUUAGCCAGCCUCGACCGUAAUUUAGCAACUGCCACGCUAAAAAACUAAACCACAUUCAAUGACCAUCCCAAGUUUUUGAACUUUAAAGCCAAGAAACAUGAAACCAGUCGCUUUUAUGUUCCAAUGAUCAUGCAAUUAGUUCGACGAUUGAAAAAAAUUAGUCAAAUCGAUGGAGAGUUAUCAAGACGAUGACGAUUAGAAAAGAAAAAACAAAUGCCUGGCAGAUAAUGAAAUUUUAUUCAUAAAAUUAUUAUUGAAAGAACAAUUCCGAGUCAAUUAACUCAAAAAAUUAAAUUUGAUUUAAAAAAAUAAAUAAAUUGGGCAUUACAAUUGAGUAUUUCGAAUUGUUCUAUGACAUUCAUUUAUUAGAAAAUGUCAUACAGCGCUUGGAUCAUAAAAGGUGGUAUAGCAGUUGGGAACUCUGGUAUUAUUUGUUACAAUUUUCAUUUAACUGAUGCAUAUUAAUUAAGAUUAACAAAUCAUAAAUAGCAAACUGUAUUUUCUAAUGAAAGGAUGGGGACUAAUUACUUCAACAUUAUAACAGCUAUACUAUAAUUUAAUGACAAUUUCAGUUUAAAAAAAAAACGAUCCAUAAAGAUGAAUUUAAUAGGCUUCAUCUACCACGAUUAUAAAAACGGGGGAUUGCCACUUUUCCCUCUACAGUAAUCAACAUAUACCAUUUUUCUCCUUACUGUUUUUAUAAUAGCCAAAAACCCUCCUGACAGCAUAAGUUUACAAUACUACCCUUAUUUUCAACUACUCUUUUAUUUACAUUUACUAUAAAUUAAAUAAAUUACAUGAAUAAAAACUAAAUAAAUUUUCUUAUAAUAAACAUAGUGAAAUAUAUGUUUUGAUAUGAGCAAAAAAAUUAAUAAUAAUUUUUUUGUAAUUAUUUAUUUUGUGAAUAUUUUCUUAUAAUAAACAUAGUGUAAUAUUUUAAAAUUAAAUAUAAAAAGUAUAGGCAAAAUAUUUUAUUAUUUAUCUUAUAAUAAAUUUUUAUUUGUCAUUCAAGUUUUCUUAUAAUAAUUUUUUUAUCAUUUUAUAAUAAUUUUCUUAAUUUUCUUAUAUAUUUAUUAUAAGAAAAUUUUCACAAAAUAAAUAAGUACAAGAAAAAAACUUUAUUAUUAAUUUUUUUGCUCAUAUCAAAACAUAUAUUUCUUUUUUUUAAUACUUAAUUUUUUAUUUAGUUUCUAUUCAUGUGAUUUAUUUAAUUUAUAAUAAAUAUAAAUAAAAAAGUAGUUAAAAAUAAGGGUAAUAUUGUAAACUUAUACUAUCAAGGGAGUUUUUGGUCAUUAUAAAAAUAAUAGAAAGAAAAUGAUAUAUGUUAAUUACUGUAGGGGGAAAAAUUGACAAUCUCCCUUAUAAAAACCAUUGAAGCAACAAAAUUUAGUUAAAACAUUGAACGAAAAUACCAAAUGGAGCAAUUAAAGCCAAAACCUGCGAACUCUUGCCCUCUCACGCCAUUAGGGUUUCCGUGCUCCUGCAUCACAGCGAAUCAAAGCUCUUGUUUGUUGAUUAUCAAUCUAGCCAACUUGCCCUUGCGGCUCUCUCUUUGUUUCCAUCAAACACCAUACUCCCAAAACCAGUCCUCAUUCAUGAUGAUGUAUCCGCAACAUCAUCACCAACCGUGGGUUUUAUAGACAGUCAUGAGAGCAUGGUAAAAAAGGUCAUCCAAACUUCAAGUGGGUCCAGCCGGAGAGCGAGUGGGACCCAAUGGCAUUGAACUACACGUCAGGCACGACAUCAUCUCCUAAAGGAGUGGUGCAUUGCCACAGAGGACUCUUCAUCAUCACCGUCAGUUCAUUGAUUGAUUGGAGCAUUCCAAAUCAAACGGUUUUCUUGUGGACACUGCCCAUGUUUCAUGCAAACGGAUGGAGCUACAGCUGGGGCAUGGCGGCCGUCGGUGGGACCAAUAUUUGCCUCCGUAAAGUCGACCUGCCAAUCAUCUAUAGCUUGAUCAAACAGCACGGAGUAACCCACAUUUGUGGUGCACCUGUAGUGCUCAACAUGCUAUCUAGCGUUCCCAGCACUAAACCUCUUGAUAGACCAGUCAAAAUCCUCACUUCCGGAGCUUCACCACCGGCAGCAGUGCUCUUAAGAACCGAGUCACUAGGUUUUGUAGUGAGUCAUAGUUAUGGGCUAACUGAAACAGCUGGUUUUGUAGUGUCAUGUGCAUGGAAGUCGCAAUGGAACACGUUGGCUGAUACAGAGAGAGCAAGAUUGAAAGCAAGGCAAGGAGUAAGAACAAUUGGCUUGGCCGACAUGGACGUCGUGCAUCCUGAGACAGGAAUGAGCGUAAAGCACGACGGACAAUCACAAGGGGAAAUUGUUUUUCGCGGUGGCUCUAUCAUGUUAGGUUAUCUUAAAGACCAAGAAGGCUCAUCGUUGUGCAUGAGAGACAACGACUGGUUUUAUACUGGUGAUAUUGGUGUGGUUCAUUCGGAUGGUUAUUUAGAGAUCAAAGAUCGAUCAAAGGAUGUGAUCAUAAGUGGGGGAGAGAAUCUAAGCAGUGCAGAAGUUGAAUCGGUGUUGUACAUGAACCCAGCUAUUAAUGAGGUGGCUCUCGUGGCUCAACGAGACAAAUUCUGGGGGAGAGGCCCUGUGCUUUUGUGAAUUUGAAGAGGGAGUUGAGUAAGAAGCCAACCGAAGAGGAGAUAAUAGAGUUCUGUAGGGGCUAGGUUGCCUCAUUACAUGGCGCAUAAGAGUGUAAUAAUCGAAGAUGAGCUUCCAAAAACUGCGACAGGAAAAAUCCAGAAGUUUGUUCUAAGAGAAAUUGUCAACGCUGUGAAUUGAGUUGUCUAGACUUCAAAGAUUUUAUGCUUUGCAUGAGAAGUGGGCCUUAGAAGUAGCAGCAUCACAACACAACUCCGGGCCUCACCUCAUAUACUUGCUUCACUGGGACUCCUCAGGUUUUGAAAAAUUAAAACAGGGACAGGGUCAGCUGUGUUUUCUAAUAGAAUCAUUCAAUCACGGAUUCACGAUACGAUCACACCCAAUAUUUUUGUUUUUCUUAUGUUCAAUGUAUAUAAUGCAAGCAAAACACUCCAUAAUACUGAUAUGCUGUAUUAUGCAAUUUACAGGCUCACACUUUUUUGUCAAACAAAAACAUGGGAAAUCAUCCUUUACAUGAAAUUGAGUAGAAGUAAAGGAUUGUAACUUUCCUAGUCAGUGGUGAAGAUAUUUUCCUCUUAGAUUAAAGCAGAUCUUGAUAAGCAAAUUCUUGGUGUGGAGAAUAUUUUCAGGGUAAAUUAUCACAAACUUUCACAGCUAAGUUCUCCAGAGGCCAAGGAUUCUGAUGCCAGAUAACUUUUCCUAAUCAUCUUUCUCGCAGCUUCAGGAGACUUCUGUCUUGUCCCCAACUACAAAACGGUUUGCAUCAUUACUCAAGCCAGACAAAUGAAGAUGCUUCCUCCUCUUGACAAGAUGUAAUGCAGUCUGUCUGUCAUCUCGAGCCUCCUCAGAAUCAGGCUGCAUAGAGAGGCACACUUGAUGAGAUGGGUACAAAAUUUGUACCAAAACAGUUGGUACACCUAUGAAUUGUCCAAUGUCUCAAAGGCAAGGACCUUAUUCAAGGUACAAUGACAGUAAGAAAUUGGCCGACUCUUUUAUUAACUUUUUCUUACAUCAAAACUAAAGGAAAAUCAAUUUUCAUCUAGCUCCCACAAAAUAGCACUUUAACAAGUAUAGCUUGCUGAAUCUUUAGUGGCAUUCCCACCAGUCACCAUUUGAUAGGUGUCCACCAAAUAUCGAGUUAAAAGCCAGAGUUUCAUAUCUUCAAUAAAAAUAUCAGGCUGAUUGUGUACCUUGAUAGCUAAUGCCCUGUCAAAGCUUUCGAUUGCUUUAUCAGGCUCCCCAAAGUUUAACUGUGCCCUACCUAGAGUUAUCCAUGCCUGAACAAAAGAACUAUUAUAAGAAACAGAGCAGAUAGUUGGAACUGAACAAAGUAAACAACAUCUUGAAAUUCAAUACAGAUCCCAGGAAAAGUUUGAUGCAGUUCACAUUAAAAAGGAAAGGAUAAAGCAUAUAGCUGAAUGAUCAUCCAACACAACAGUACCUAGGACUUUGGAUGUAGUUCAUAUUCACAGUCCAAUAGCUAAAGUAUGGCAAGCAUAAAGUUCAUUGACAGCUUUGGCAGUCUUAUAAUUCAAUCAAUUCCUCCCAGUUAAACAAAAACAUAAACUUUAAGUAGGUAGACAAUCAUAUGCCUCCAAAAGCUUUGUUUCAAUGGGGUGUUACAACUUACCAUGAAAACUGAAGGAACUAGUUGCAAAUUAAGGCCCAACAUACCAUCCAAAAAGGCUAAAAUUAAGUAAGUUUGAAAGUUGGAAUUUAUAAAGAUCUACAUUGUAAUGCAACUCUAAUAUUGCGAACUAACACAAGGUUUUGAACAUCUUUUCUUAGAUGCCAAGAAUAUACGGGAAAAUAGACCAUAAAAAGCAAUUCCAAUUGACAAGGAGAUUGAGGAGUAAUCCAAAAAAAAAAUGUAGCGCUUUUAAAAAAAAAAACACUAAUUACAAGUAUAACAAUUAGUUCUUAAAAUAGCAUGACAGUUAGCAUUUUCCAUUAACUUCAUAAGUCUUUGUAGGAAAUCUUAAAAAUGAAAAUUAUUUACACUGCACUAUCAGUUCAAUUUUGCAAAAUCAUGAUAGAAAAUAAAGUCCUUAGAGAAAUAAAAAACAAAAAGCAAAUUGCCAAUGAAAAACUUCAAAAAGAAGGUUCAGGUUUAUUUUUAAGGAAACCUUGUUCUUUCUUUCUUUAUUUAUUUAUUAUUUUAAGACAACAUAGAUAUUAAAUUUGAUAUAAGAACUGCACAGAUAACAAUCAAAUUCAAUGAGUUUAAGGUCGACAUACCUCUGCCCAUGAUUGUUCCAAUUCAGUAGCUCCUGUAAAGUUGAAAGUAUAAACCAUAAGUUAUGUACUACGGAACUUAUUACAAUAGACAAACAUUAGUUGUAAGAAAGUCCAAAAGUAUGCAACUCAGAACUUGAAAGAUGCUAAAUGUGAACAUUCUGUUCACUGGAUGUAUCAUAAAACCCAAUUUAUUCUGAUAGAAGACAUGAACUUAGAUAUUGAAAGAUUUUAAAAUUCAAGGGCAUAUAAGAAGUUUUAAGGAAGAUAACGCAUACUUGUCAGUCAUUUACAAUAAAACCAUUUAAGCAUAUCAAGCUACCAUUCAAAUACGAUGCAUGAAAGAAAAACGGAUAUGAAUUUGAUCAUACGAGUAGCUGCCUUCAAUGCAUUCCAUGCAUCCCCAAGUUCUAGUAAAACUUGUGCUUUCUGCUCAUGCAAGACCGCAUUUUCAGGCCUCAAAUUAAGAGCAGCCUCCCACUUUCCAAGUGCUUCCCGGAAUUUUCCAUCCUUCAAAAUGAAAGUGCCAUCAUAAUAGUGAAACGCAUGUAAACCCCAAAUGUAAAUAACAAAUAAAAACAAUACUUGCACACAUGCAAUUUUUCAGCCUAAUUAUUUUCCCCCCAAAAGCAAUCCUUUCCCUAUUGUCUCACAAAAUUGAUCGAACCUAACCAGCAAGUCCUUCAUGCCACAUAUUUAACAGCCCAGAUAGAAGUAAAAAUGAAAAAUUAUGUCUUUUCAAUAGAAAAAGCAGAAUUGAGUAUUGAAGCGAAAGUAAAGAAAAGGGUACCUCGGCAAGGUUAUUGCCUUGGGCUUCGAAUGAUAGGGCAAGUUGUUUAGCGUCGAAGGGUUCUUGAUGUUCGUUAUUAUCAUCGUUCUUUUCGAGCUCUGCACCACUUAAUCCGUGCUCUUGGUCUUGUUGGUCAAAAGGAAGAUUUGGGAAUUGCUGCAGUGACCGCUUCUUGUUGCCCUUGUUUUUGUUCCACGUCAAUUUCAUCUCUCUCCGCCUCUCCCCCUACUUUCUCAAUUUCUGGGGACAAAACCACCCACACUUAGAAACUUGUACCUCAGCCAUUGCAACCUCUUGCACUUCUUGUUCUAGUCGGUUAGAAAUAGGCAGCCCAGUCCAGUAACUAGCUGGACCCACUAAACAUAUUAAAAUGGCCCACUAAUUCAUAAGGAUGGGCUGCCCCAAAGCCCGUUCAUGAUGUGCAUUUUAGGUGUCUCUACUCUCUGGGAUAUCUAUCGUAGUAUUUUUUAAAACUUCAAAUAUCAUGAACAGCGCCCAUGGCCUAAUGGAUAAGGCGUCUGACUUCUAAUCAGGCGAUUGUGGGUUCGAGUCCCACUGGGCGUGAGGUUGGUCGCUUUUAUAGAGCUCAGUUCAUUUUUUUUUUCAACUUAAAUAUUGGUCUGUUUGUGUUCGGUCUUCCUUCUCUUUUUUCUAGAUUCAAGUCUGAAGAGAGCUACCAAUGAUUUUCAAUUCGUCCAAUCAGUUUCCUAGAAAGCCUCUUGUGGUGAGAACGUUGAAGACUUGUUCUUUUUAGUCUGUAUGCGUGUCACAUUUGUCUUUAUAUGUUAUGUAUAAAGUUUAUUGUUAAUCUAAACUUUAAUUAAGAUUAAGUAGUUAUUUUCACAUAAUUAUAUCAAAGUUACAUUUUCCUAUUUGAAUUUACAUACUCUAUCUCGAUUAAAUCUGCAUUUCCGUCUAACCUCACGCGACCCUUUUAAUCAAUAACAAAAGUUUCCCAGAAACUUCUAUUGAUUUCGUAAUUAUAUUUUAUAUAAUUCAGAUUCCCACUUACGUGUGUGAAAUUCAUGAUUCAUGAGAAAAGGAAAUGGUCAAUAAUAAUGAUGAAAAUAAUCUAAUUUAACUUGGUGAAAAUAGUAUUCUUUGAAUCGUUACUGUAUUACUGAAUCUAAGAAAUUAUUAUUAUUAUUUUGGCACCUAAAUAAAGGGCAAAAUUGGUUCACACAUCAAUGACACGUUGAAAUAGGAAAAGUAAACCAAAAUUAAUCCGGCAUAUAAAUGAAUGGCAAAAUUCCAAGAACCGCGUCCAUCUAGUCUACAGGGCUCACGCGGUUUUGGGCUUCAAAUAUCUAGCUACGAGCGGUGCUAGCGUUACAUAUGAAAGAAUUACGGACAAUUAAUAUUUGAUUUGUCUUUAUAUUUAAUAUAUUAUGAUGAGUUAAAAAAACCAAAAGGAAAUUAAAGUCCCACAUUUAAGUCUCCAAAAGCCCUUUGUUGCACGCGUAGUUCUCUGAAACAUAAUUAUCGCAGUUAUUAGGCCACUCAUCCAAUUCGGACUUUCACUUUGUUUCUAAAAUUAGAAACUACAGAAUUUAAUUAUGGGGCAGAAGCUGGGAGAGGAAAUUGCCAGAGCCGAGGUGGCUGCGCCGAGAUUCACUGCCAAGAAAGGAGGAAUCAUUCCGCCCAAAAGGAAGUCAGUGAAGAAGAUUAUAGGUAUUGAAAUAGCCCAGUCUGUUUCUUCUCUUCUCCGUUUAUGCUGCCUUUCUUCGAAAUCCCCUGAAGAUCCAUCUAUUAACACUAACACUAAUAGUUGCCCGAAAAUGGAAAAACAAAAUUAGGGCAUCAGGCUCAUACGUUAGCGUACAAAACCAUCAAAAUUUCACUUUAUAUAGAGCUUGUUUUAUAGUGAAAACCUAUAUCCAUACCCCGUCAGUUAACUUGCACUUUUUUUUUUUUUUUAAACUUCUAUUUCAUCUUUGUGUUGUACGAUUAUUAUAUCAUUGGAAUUACAUGCAAGCAUGUCGUGUACUAUUGUACAAGCAGCAAUAUCAAUAUAAUACGUAUCAUACACUGAUGGAGUGAAAAUUAACUACAUUUUUAUCCCAUCAGUUACUAUUUUAAUUAGUAAUUGCACUUGUAUGAAAGUUGUUUCUCUCAGCUUUCUUUUGUUCAAACUAUUUGUUAAUUCAUGUCCCUUGAUCUACCAUCUUUAAGCAAAAAGUUAGUGUUAGUUAAUUCGUGAGAAUGAUAGAUAUAGAGAGAGACAAAACACUUUAAUAAUUUCACUUUAUUCUUUAAAGUAGGCACCAUUGUAUCUUUGACACAUCUGGCCAAAUCUUUAAAGAUUUACAAGAACGUAAUUAGUUGGGGUCACACGGAUGACUGAUCCAUGAUCUCUAAAGUUUAAAGUACAAAAAGAAAUAAUUUCUAAUUUUUCGCUCCAUGUGCAAAUCACAUUUUUCAUUACAAAACAAUUUUUUUUUUUCCCGAUGGGUUUUGUUCUUUUCCAUUCUAUGAACAAUUUAUUCCUCUUCCAUUUUUAUAUUUCUGUUUAAUUUUAAAUAACUUCAACAUAAAUUAAUAUGGACGGAAUGUUCUAACUAUUAAACUAUACGUGCGGUUGGUGACUAUUUUAAUAUAACAGGUAAAAGUUCAUUUAUUCUUUUUAUUUUAAAAUUAGUAUUCAUUUAGUUCCUAUAUUUUUAAAAAUGUCUCGAAACAUCAUUGCCGUUAAAGUAUUAAUACCCCUACCAUUAUUUUUUUAUUUUUUUUCACUUACUUUUACAAUAUUACUCUUUUAUAAUAAUUUUUUUGUUUGGACAUUAAUAAAAAGAAAAUAAUUAAAUUACCAAUUUAACCCUAGAAAAUUAAAAAAAAUUAUAUUAAUUUUUUUGUAAGCACCAUUUGCACACUUGGUAGUUUGCAUACAAUUUUUGACAAUUUAAUUUUUGACAAUAAAAAUUAAUAUUAUUUUUUUUAGGGUUAAAUUGGUAAUUUAAUUAUUUUCUUUUUAUUAAUGUCCAAAUAAAAAAAUUAUUAUAAAAUGGUAAUAUUGUAAAAGUAAGUCAAAAGAAAUAAGUUAAUGCAUGGCCCUGGUCCUCGUAUGGUUGAUUUAGAAAAAUAAUUGACAGUAAGUUUGACUAAAUCAGAUGAGAUGGCGAGAGUUUAAUUUUAUUUUUUUAUGUGAGUUAGAAAAAUAUCACAUGAAUACGGUGGGCGGAUGUAGCAUGUGAACAGUGGGGGCUCAAGCUCCUACUGACAAAAAAAAUUCUAAAAUUAAAAAAGAAAAAUAUUUUAAUUUUCUAAUUAGUUCCAAUAAAAAAUUUAUUAAAAUAAUCACUAUAAAUUAUAAACCCCCAUAAAAUUUAAAAUUUAACUUUUAAGAAUUAUAAAAACUUAUAUUUUAAUUAAAAAUAAUGAUAGCCUACCACUCAAAAUAUUUUCUAUUCUCAAAAUUAUGAUUAAUUCUUCCAGUCUCUAUAAUAAUGCUAGAACGAACGUUUUUUGUAAUGAAACUCAUGAAGAAUCAUCUUUGGAAUCAAAUGGGAUAAAUGAUAGUUUAGUUGUUUAUAUAGGAAAUAAUAAAUUUAAUAAUAUUGAUAAUGAGUCUAUUGCAUAACAUUUUUAAAAUACGAAAAUGCGUAGAUAAUAUUAUAAAUGUAUUAGCAAAUAUUUUAUAUAAUCAAAAUUUUAGUUUUUCAUAUUUUACUAUUAUCUAAUUUAGCCCCCGAUAAAUUAUUUUUCUAAAUCCGUCACUGAGUACCUAGCCAUUGAAUUGUGUCAACCAUGCACCAACCAGCAAGUAACACGGAAGACAUUAUGGUCGAUUAGUCAACGAGAUACUAUAAUAGAUAUAUGUUAGCUUAGGUAAAAUUAAUGUCCGAUAAUUUUUAAGCAGUAUUUUGUUGAAUGAUUAAUUGGUGGUUCUGUUAAUUUCAUAGAGAUAUAUAAUUAGAUUCGUCAAGAAAACCAAACUUGAAUAGCCUUAAACCAAGAAAUUCCAAUUCGACAUAUAUACGAGAUAUCGAAAUUUUAACACAACUUUGAGGGGAGACCAUAAUUAUAACUAUAAACUAAUUUAAGAUGAUUGGCACUUAUAUUAUAAAUAAAAAAGCAUAAAAUGUUUUUGUUUAAUAGAAACAUUUUGGUCAUUUUCAAAUUUCUGACGAAGUAAUUGUGACGGUUCUUUCCACAAUCAGUCAAUUAUUAUGAUCGCUCACUUUAUGCUAAUUGUUCAACCACUCUUUCAACUUUUUUUUUUUUUUUCUGUUCAACGAUGGAAUGAUAAAAUGAUCAAAAUAAUGUGAUAGGCUGAUAAUGAAUUAAGUCCAAUGCACACAAGAAAGUUUUGAAAAAGUUUUUGGAAAUAUCGAUCUAUAGAUUUAUAUCAUUGAUCAAAAUAGAUAAAAACAAGCAAUUACACCGUUUUUUGGAGAGUUGUUUUAGUUUCUUUCAAUUCUCAUAAAAGCAUUUGCUGUCUUAAAUUUCCUAUCAGCUCCAGCUUGAUCUCAAUAUUUCCUUAUUAGCGUAUCAGUACAAUCAUUUAGUGUACUCCUGUUCAAAAUCAUUGAAUCCCUUAAAUUGGAAUUGUAAAAUUUGAUUUUUCCCUUUGAAGAGUAUAAUCUAGCUAGUUAGGCUUGGUCAUGAAUUUCAUGAUCACCAAACCAUCUGAUUAAGCCACUAAACUUAGAGAUAGAAAAUUUAAUCAAUUAUAUAUUAAAAUGCAAACCAAAUAUACAGUAACAAUUGAUCAAACAACAUUGUUACCUGGUUUCAACUUAGCCAAGAAAUGUCCAAGAAACUUCCUAGCUCGAAAUUAUUUAUAAUUAAAAGGCUUUAAUAAUAUAAUUUUAUGACCCUAGUAAUUUAUUUCGAAUGUGGCAGUAAGUUGCUCAAAGUAAUCAAUUUCCAAAUGAAGAUAAAGACAUGAGUCAUGACCACCUUGCCACAAUAUUACUAACGGGUCAUAUGUGUGUGUGUGUUUAUAUCAAAAUCUCCAAUUAUGUAUCAUGCAUGCAUGUAUGUGUGUAUGUAUAGUUUUUCUUUAGUGCCAACAGCCUCAUUUUUUUUUUUUAAAUGCGGACACACUCUUAAAACCAUGAGGUUUAAUAAAUUUAUUUAUAAUUGAACUAUAAAGUCGUGCGGUUUAAGAGAGUUAAAAUCUUAACUCUAUUAAACCCUAUAAUUUAAAAGCGUGUCUGUAUGAAAAAAAAAAAAGAGAGAGAGAGAGAGAACGUCCGUACUAAAAAACAGAUUAUACACAUACAUACAUACAUACAUACAAACAUACAUUCAUACAUACAUACAUACAUCCACAAAUACAUACAUGAUAGAUGAUUGGAAAUUUUGAUAAUGUAAAAGAUAUUGCGUUGAUUAAAUCAUCAAUACUUUUGAUUGAAGUGUUAUAUAUGGAUUGGAUUUGAUUUUUACCAAGAAGUUCAUUUGAACUACUUAUAAUUUAAUAUACAUCUAGGGUCUAUAUAAAAUAUUGUCCAAGUUAACAAGUAAUUCCGAUUUCAGUUAUUUUUCACAAUGAUACCGGUGCUUAAUUUGUUUUGAGAGACGAUUUUAGAUGAGUAUCGCGGUAAAAGUGUCCUUUGUAGCGGUAAUUUUUGGAUGUUGGUCAAGUUUACUGCAGCAAGGAAUUUACCAUUGGCUUAUCCUUGAAAAAAUUAAGUUCAAGUCUCAUACGAAGGAAGUGCCAAAAUUUGAAAAUCAACACACUGACUUUUUACCAUGAACAUUUUGUCACGUUCUCACAUAGUUACAUUUAAUAAUCAACAAUAGGAGCCAAUAUCUCAACAGCUAGCAGAACCUUCUUCUAGUUAUAUAUUUUUCUGCAAAAACCACGUAAUUCCAAAACUUUCGUGGCUCGGUUAGAGCAUGCACCCCUUUGACAAGUGAGUUCGACUCUUCACGAAUUUUCAGUUUGAUAAAUUUCACAGAAACUUCUCACUUUGAUCGUUAAAUUUUCACUCCCGUGUGUGAAAGUCAAGAUUCAUAAGAGAAUAAGAUGACCACUAUUGACAGAAAUGUCUGAGGCAUCAUCAUGGAAAGUGAUUUCUGUGCGAAUUUCCACUGCAAUUCCAUAUAUAUGUAUCGUUAAUUGUCAGCUACUGAACCCAGUUAUUAAAGCCUUUGUUGAUGGAUGAAUCAUAAAUCAAGACCAGACCCAAAAGGACGGUAUUUUCUUUUUAGUUUCCAGCUUCCGAAUUUACUCAUUUAGGUCCAACUCAGGUUAGUGACUUAACCAGUUUAGUCCACGCACGUAAAUCGCUUAUGUUGACUAAAGUCAAAAGGCCGUUAUUGGCCGUGCUCUAACAAACUCUCCUAUUCAUAGAAUUAUAGCUGAUUUACCGCCUUUCUAUAGAUAGAGAUUUAGAGUUAUAGAGAAAAAAAUUCGGGAAAGUUUCCUCUUGAGAUAAGCUCUAGCUAUGUGGUUAUUAUAUAAACACUUGUUAUAGUAACUUAGAAGCUAAAUUGAUUUCAUUCUACAUUUAUAUAAUGAAAAUUUUAUAUUAUUUUAAUUACUUUUGUCAAUGUUAUUAUUUAAAAAUUAUAUUGACCACAUAUUAUUAAAUUUUAUUUUAUAGUGAUAUUUUUUCUUAAGUAAUAAUGACUUUUAAGACGCAACAUUUUAUUUUCUCUUUCAAAAAGAAAAGAGAAAAUUAAAAAAAAAAAAAAACAUUCCUUUAUGCUUUCUUUCGUAGUUGACAUUGCUUUUGUUGCUUUUGUGCAAUGCUAUAAAAAAUGGUAGAGAAGAAAGUGGUGGACAACAUGCUUCUAAACCUCUCAUUUGAUUGUUUCACUUGUACUCAAGUUAGACAUAGAAAGUUUUGAUAAUUAGGGUUAUACUUCAUAUACCUUUUGAGUCAUUAAUGGAAAUGUUUUAAGAUUACUUUGGUUUAAUUUUCACCGCAUUUUUCAUUUUUAGAAUAAACUUUUGUAAGGAUUUGCAAAGGCUUCAGGAUUGCAAGAGUUCGGGAAACUUAGAACAUAUAUAUUAAACUUGUAUUUUCGAAUGGGGACGUAAGUGAGAAUAGCGGCCCACAACUCGGCCUAAUUUAAAUAGUUUGGGCUUUUUGACAUAUUUAAGAGGAGUAAAGACUGUAAAGUUAUUAGCACCCCUUUUUUAUCCUUAUAAAACCCAACUUCAUAUAAAAUUAUAAUUAAAGACAUAUAAGAAUUAAAUACAUCAAGAUUUUUUCUAACAAAUUACUUACAUUUAUAAUCAAUUCUUUUUUUAUUUUCUACUUGUUACUUCCUAUAUAACUAACAUAAAUUGCAUAAUUUUAGAAUAAUCUAUAGUUCUUUUUCUACUUCUUAUUGAUUAAAUAUGUUUCUACUUAAAAUUGCUUUCAAAUUAUAAUCUAAAAUAUGUAUAAUUUAAGUUAAUGAUUAAGAAUAAAAAAUUAAUCACUGAAAAAACUUUUAAUUUGUACGUAAGGUAACAAUAAGAUUGCAAAAGAGGGGAAAAAAACACAAUACGAUUUUGAGUUUUAACAAUAAAAAAAUUAAAUGAAAAAUAGAAGAGUGUAUUUGAAAAAAAAAAAGAAAUAUUUUUGGAAAUAAAAUAAAUGUAACUGAAAAAGGGAUAUAUAUAGAAUGUACAAAGUAAAAGUUAAUUUUUUAAAUUUCGUAUGUAAGUGUAAAUAUUAAUAAAGUAUUUUGAAAAUUUUUUAAGAGUGUAAGUAGCUUCAACCGUAAGUUUGAUAAAAAUCACUUUAGCUUCCCAACCAUAGCUACAAAUACAAUGUUUACAAAUACUUUAAUGUAAGUCACAUCUCCCCCAACAACGAUAGCAAGUAUUGUCAAACACUUUACUGCAAACCACAACUCCCAAACAACAAUACCAAACAGAGUCUAAAUGCCAAUUUGGUAAUGUUGUAGCAUUUAAAAUCAUAAUUAUUAGUUGUGCUAUAUAAUUAAUCAGUUCUGAAGAGAAUUAACUAAACAUUUUGUAAUUUUUUUUUGAAAUACUCUGAUUUUUAAAAAUAAUCAUAUGUAUUUCAUAUGUCUUACUUCUAAACUAUUGUAAGAAUACAAAUGAUUAAAAUGGACAUAAUAUUAAAUAAUAUUUAUGUACGCAUUUAUAAAUAUGUGCGCAUUUAUAAACAUGUACAUAUAAUAUAUUUUUAUUAUGUAUAUGUAAUAAUUGAUUAUUGGAAUAAAUAUUUUUUAUUUUUUAUUUUUAUUUUGUCAUCACAAUAUAAUUGAUAGUUAUAAUAAGUCUUUAAACUUAAUAAUUGUAUUUUCUAUUUGAAUAGGGAAAUUUUUUAUAUAUAUAUGAAACUGUGUUAAGUAUAAGACUGAUUCUCAAAAUCAGAUUUUAAAAAAUUACUCUUUUCCUAUUUUUAACUUUUCAAAAUCUGUUGUACACAGGCAAAAUACUUUUAGAAAAAUUUAUCAAACACUAAUGUUAAUUUUGUAUUUUUUAAAUUAUUUUUCAACAUUUCAAAAGUAAUCUCAAAUAGGUUAAUUGGCCGGAGCCAAAACACGAAAAACAAGAAAACAUAAUUUAAAAGUUAAUAGAAACAAAUUAAAACCUUCCUGUGACUUCGCAAUAGACCAAAACAAAGUUACAACAAAUUUAUUGGGGUCAAUUAUUGAUGCAACGCUUUUUAUACGAAAAGGUUUUACUAGAAACUGACACAGUGAAUGAGGAAAUGAUGAAGUUGAUGGAUAUAUAAAAUAUACUUUUCAAUGUAUAUUUUAUUAAUUCAAAGAAUAUUUGAAAUAACGAAAUAUUAUAAUUAAAUUCACAUCCAGUUAAGAAUAUCUGUAAAUCUGGGUAGUUAAGUUAUGUCCUGUUGAUUUAAUAAAAUAACUAGAAAUAAUCUGAGGUUAAAACUUACACAAUGGCCUUGAAAUUAAAAUCAUUAUAUAGCUCAAGUCUUCCUCAAAAAGCUACAAUAGACUCAUGCAUAUAUAUAAUGAGAGAUUCAGUACUAUAAUUACUAAUGGGUUUGUUUUUGUGAAUCAGAGCUGUAAGUUCUAAUAAAUAAGAUUUGAUUGAAGAAAAUGGCUCUUUUUAAAAAAAUCUCUUCUUUGUAAUUCCUUUGGCUUUGCACACAAUUCUUACCCUCAUUCCAAUCCAAUUUCCAAACGGACUUGGCCGUGUAUUAAUGAUUAUUAAUGUUUCGUCUUCUGUUUUGUUAAAUUGGAAAAUUCGAGAGGGAUGAGAGAGAAGAAGGAAAGCAAAUACUUUUAGAAAUGGAGGAAAAAAAAAAUUUUUAAGAUGAAAAUUAAUAGUUACAUACCAAAUUAGGGUCCGCUUGUAAUACAGCGUCUGUAUCUCAUACAGCUGAAUUUAAUAUUUUAUUAAAAAAAAUGGCAACCGUUAGAUAGAAGUAAAUACAUCCAAUGGUUAAUAUAUGUGAUAACUCAUUUUGGCGACCGGAUAUGGCAGUUAUUAUUUCAUCAAUUAACUUAAUUAAAAAAUCACAGCCGUUGGAUUGUGAUGUCUCUCUCUCCCUCAUAAUAAAAGCCUUCGCAUUCUCCCUCCUAUUGUUUUCUCCUAGAUCCAGAAUUUUGGAUGAUAUGAACUUGUUAUUCAGGAAUAUUCACCACCCAUCACAGCAAAGAGCAAAGAUGUAGUAGAAGGAGUGCCAUUUAUUCAAGGUUACUCGAUCUGUCACUCUCACUUCAAUUCGUCGCUCAACUUCUUGAGGACAUCUUCAAUCCAUCACUCUCAACUUCAGUUCGUCACUCACAGCUUCAAAUUUUCACUCUCGUGAAUCACCUCUCUUGUUGUGCCUCUCUCUUAUGUCUCCCAACAAUUUCGGUGAGCUCUCUCUCUAAUUUAAUAUAUGAUAAAAAAUCUUAUCAUGUCAUUUAAAUAUGUUUGAAGUUUCAGUUUAGUUUAUGAUUAUUACUUGAAAUUUCAGUUUCAAUGAUUUGAUUUUGCAACUGAGAAAUUAUUACUUGAAAUAUUGAGAUGAUUUCCAGGGAUUCAUAAUUGAAAGAUAAUUGCUAGGGCUUGUCUUUUUUUGUUUUUUAUCUUGAGAUUAUGUUUUUCACAAAAAGGGAAAAAAAGAAAAAAGAAAAAGAAAAAAGAGGUUGCACUAUCUAGCAUCAAGCAACUGCAAGUAAUGGGUUUGUUUUGAUGAGCUGCGAAUUGGGGCUUCUCAUUUUCUUGAAUUAUCUUCAAUAUAAGUGGAAAGGGAUUUCUUCUCUCUAAAAAUUAUUGUAUAUUUCCUUUUAAAUUCUAGGUUGACAUGUAACUGAUUUUUUAUGUUUGAAGGAUUUUAUUAAAGAAUGUGAUGCUGCCAGUGGCAUGAAUUAAUGUAGUCUCGCUAGUAUAUUCCUGAUUUGGGGUAAUGAUUGAACGAUUAUAUUUGUAUUAUUCUUAUAUUUGAAUCCAGUGAUAUUGUGGUGGUUUUAUGAUAAUAUUCUGCUGUACGGCCAAGGCGGAUGUACGGUACAGCAGUUUUCCAAUUUUUUUUCAUUUUCAAAUAUUUUUUAGGUAUAUGUUGUAUGGGGUUGUUGUUGAAUUUGCUGGACCUUGGAUGUGAUUCUUGCCGUGUUUAUAAGAAAUAAACAAAUGUCUUUCUGUGGUAAUAAAAUUGUCUAAGUUGCGUUACGGAGGAUGCAAAACAACUUAUUCUUUAUCUUUUUGAUGACAAAUUGAAUAACAUGUAUUAUCUGAUAUAUACAAACUGCUUUUACGACAAGUGUAUUUGUAAAGUGCGCUCAAAUAUUAUUAUCUUGCUGUUAUUUGUUGAAAUAACACCAUUCUUUCAUGGUAAAAGGGAAAUUGUGGUGGAUAUAUGAGACAACAGUAUAAUUCGGAGUAGCAUGCAUACUCUUUUGCCAGGAGAAUGGAUUGAUGGCGAUGUAAUAGCUGCUGCAGUUUCAGAUUAUAAAUAUGUACGCAGAUUAUAAGAAUAUGAAAGAGGCUGAAAAAGAUGUCACUUCCCCUCGAUGUUGGUUCCUACCUACAUAUUACUCUGUAAGAUAGCCAUAAAAUUAUAUCAUUCAAACACUUCUAUGGAAAUAAGCUAGUGUAGUUAGUUGCUUGACCCUUUUUCCACUUUCUUUGAUUUAACCUUUGUUCUAAAGCAAGCUGCACUAGCUGAUUGGAGUAGCCUUAACUUUGCACAAGCUGCUGGUUUCCGAGAUCGAUACAUGGGUCGUUUGGAUACCUGUGAAAAGGUUAACACAUAACGUGAAUUUAGUUUCUUUUUCACUGUUAUUGUUAUAACUUCUUUUCAUUUCACCUGAUUGAUAACAAAACAUUAUGCAUUUAUUGAUGUCCGUUCAAUGUUUAAUACUUUAUACCAUGGCAGAUUUAUGUCCCCAUAAAUUGUGAUGGUCAUUGGUACAUGCUUCUUGUUGACAUUUCUCAUGCAACUGCAACUAUUUGGGAUUCAUUGGAAUCACCGAGUCGAAAAGAGAAAAUGAUUAAUGAGUCUUUGGCAAUUGUAUGUUCUUAAAAUCAUUGACUAUAUUUGCAUAUAUUUCACACUUGAAUGUUUUAAAUCUUGCAAUACUUAUUGCUUGUUGAUGUUGGCAGCUUGCCUCCCUGGAUUUUGUUCUCCGUCAAGAGGCUAGAGCUCUUUUUGGUAAUCGAUUCAGUUUUUUAAAUUUUCAAAUAUGUUGUCAAGCUGGUGUACCACAACAGCCAAAUGGUUUUGAUUGCGGCUACUAUGUGAUGAAGUAUAUGGAUAAUCUUUCUAUUGUUGUCCAUGACUCUUAUCAGGUUGGUACAGUUGUAUCUUAUUGGUGUAUAAUAUCUUUUCUGUAUUAGAUUAACAAAUAAGGAUUUAUAUCAGCAGGAUAAGGAUCGACUUUUUAAAUAAAGUUUUUUUUUUUAACUAUUUCAGCAUGACUCGGAUCACGCUCGCCUUCUUCUAGCUCUUUAUUUGGUGCAAUCUCCGCUUAACAAGAUCAGACGUCGACUUAUUCAAGAAGCGCGCAAGUUAUAGGUUGACUGUGCAGUCUUUUUAUUUUUGUUUGCCGAACCAUUUUGUAGCAUUGUAGCAACGUUAGGGUAAAAGGUUGGCAAUUUUUUUGUGAUGCCACCCCAUUUGUUGGUAUUUUGUAUAACAACUAGUGUUGUUGUAGAAUCCACGAGUUCACUAACCUGGGUUAGCUGAUGAGUCAUUUAGGGUUGCCAUGGAUCUUUUACUCUAGACGAUUAAGUCUUAACAAGAGAACGAGGCUCUGAUACCAAUUGAAAUACAAGUAAGCAACCCAAGAGGGGGGGUGAAUUGGGAUUCUAAAAAAUUAUUCAAUAUUAAAGAAAAUCUUAAUGCAAUUAUAACUCAAAUUCAAAGCAAUAANNNNNNNNNNNNNNNNNNNNNNNNNNNNNNNNNNNNNNNNNNNNNNNNNNNNNNNNNNNNNNNNNNNNNNNNNNNNNNNNNNNNNNNNNNNNNNNNNNNNNNNNNNNNNNNNNNNNNNNNNNNNNNNNNNNNNNNNNNNNNNNNNNNNNNNNNNNNNNNNNNNNNNNNNNNNNNNNNNNNNNNNNNNNNNNNNNNNNNNNNNNNNNNNNNNNNNNNNNNNNNNNNNNNNNNNNNNNNNNNNNNNNNNNNNNNNNNNNNNNNNNNNNNNNNNNNNNNNNNNNNNNNNNNNNNNNNNNNNNNNNNNNNNNNNNNNNNNNNNNNNNNNNNNNNNNNNNNNNNNNNNNNNNNNNNNNNNNNNNNNNNNNNNNNNNNNNNNNNNNNNNNNNNNNNNNNNNNNNNNNNNNNNNNNNNNNNNNNNNNNNNNNNNNNNNNNNNNNNNNNNNNNNNNNNNNNNNNNNNNNNNNNNNNNNNNNNNNNNNNNNNNNNNNNNNNNNNNNNNNNNNNNNNNNNNNNNNNNNNNNNNNNNNNNNNNNNNNNNNNNNNNNNNNNNNNNNNNNNNNNNNNNNNNNNNNNNNNNNNNNNNNNNNNNNNNNNNNNNNNNNNNNNNNNNNNNNNNNNNNNNNNNNNNNNNNNNNNNNNNNNNNNNNNNNNNNNNNNNNNNNNNNNNNNNNNNNNNNNNNNNNNNNNNNNNNNNNNNNNNNNNNNNNNNNNNNNNNNNNNNNNCCAGAGACCUGCAAGAUGAGCAUUUGUUAUCCGUUUACGCUAAACGGUUAAGGACUUGCGUGAAGUGGCUUCUCUGGACAUUAUCGGUUAACCGUUUGAUAUAAACGGUUCGCCGUUUGUCUCCAGUAACCUGCAAAACAAUUUAGCCUUAUCAGUUUUCGUUAAUCAAUGCCAGAGGAGGACAACCUUCAAUUCUGGACAUUAUCGGUUAACCGUUUAAAAUAAACGGUUCACCGUUAAGUUCCAGUAACCUUCCCAUCUUUUGUGUUUUCCGUUUUUCAUAAACGGUUAGAGGUUUAGGGAAAAUGUUUGCUCUCUGGCUGUUAUCGGUUAACCGUUUAAAUAAACGGUUCACCGUUUAUAACCAGAAUUGCAUUUUAAACCAGUUUUUGCAGAGAAUCUUUUUCUAAUUUUAAAGUCCAUCUUUUAUGAAGCAUGAAUGGAAUGAUUACUAAGGCUCUCGUUUAUUAAGAAAUAGCUCCAAUACUUUUAUCAAAAAUCAUUUAAAAUUUGUUAUCAUCAAAAUCAAUAUUAUUAACAUAUUUAUGUUAACAAUCUCCCCCUUUUUGAUGAUGACAAAUUCUAAUCAAUGUUUAGCUCCCCCUUAAUAUGUGCUCCCCCUAAAUGUAUGGCCAAAUUGAGAAAUGUGAAUAAAAGGAAUUUUUGCUUUAAAUUGCCCCAUUUUAAAUCCAUCUUAAAAAAAUAUCUCCCCAUUUAAAAACCAUAUUAAAAAAAUAUCUCCCCAUUUAAAAACCAUCUUAAAAACCAUAAUUAUCUCCCCUUCAUCAUCAAAAAGAAAAGAGGAAAUAAGAAAUACGCAAAUCCAUGAAAGAAAGUGCCCGGUUUUGGCAAGCGAAAAAAAUUUUGGCAGAGUUUCCCCUUAAAAAUGAGUAAAACCAUAAAUACAAAAUGAGAUAAAACACUUCCAAAAUUAGAUCAACAUUAACUUCUGCUUUCAACAAGCCAACAACUCCAUAAACACAUCAAAAGAACACUUCAAGAACCACAAACAUACCAACACUCCAAUAUCCACAAAUAAACCANNNNNNNNNNNNNNNNNNNNNNNNNNNNNNNNNNNNNNNNNNNNNNNNNNNNNNNNNNNNNNNNNNNNNNNNNNNNNNNNNNNNNNNNNNNNNNNNNNNNNNNNNNNNNNNNNNNNNNNNNNNNNNNNNNNNNNNNNNNNNNNNNNNNNNNNNNNNNNNNNNNNNNNNNNNNNNNNNNNNNNNNNNNNNNNNNNNNNNNNNNNNNNNNNNNNNNNNNNNNNNNNNNNNNNNNNNNNNNNNNNNNNNNNNNNNNNNNNNNNNNNNNNNNNNNNNNNNNNNNNNNNNNNNNNNNNNNNNNNNNNNNNNNNNNNNNNNNNNNNNNNNNNNNNNNNNNNNNNNNNNNNNNNNNNNNNNNNNNNNNNNNNNNNNNNNNNNNNNNNNNNNNNNNNNNNNNNNNNNNNNNNNNNNNNNNNNNNNNNNNNNNNNNNNNNNNNNNNNNNNNNNNNNNNNNNNNNNNNNNNNNNNNNNNNNNNNNNNNNNNNNNNNNNNNNNNNNNNNNNNNNNNNNNNNNNNNNNNNNNNNNNNNNNNNNNNNNNNNNNNNNNNNNNNNNNNNNNNNNNNNNNNNNNNNNNNNNNNNNNNNNNNNNNNNNNNNNNNNNNNNNNNNNNNNNNNNNNNNNNNNNNNNNNNNNNNNNNNNNNNNNNNNNNNNNNNNNNNNNNNNNNNNNNNNNNNNNNNNNNNNNNNNNNNNNNNNNNNNNNNNNNNNNNNNNNNNNNNNNNNNNNNNNNNNNNNNNNNNNNNNNNNNNNNNNNNNNNNNNNNNNNNNNNNNNNNNNNNNNNNNNNNNNNNNNNNNNNNNNNNNNNNNNNNNNNNNNNNNNNNNNNNNNNNNNNNNNNNNNNNNNNNNNNNNNNNNNNNNNNNNNNNNNNNNNNNNNNNNNNNNNNNNNNNNNNNNNNNNNNNNNNNNNNNNNNNNNNNNNNNNNNNNNNNNNNNNNNNNNNNNNNNNNNNNNNNNNNNNNNNNNNNNNNNNNNNNNNNNNNNNNNNNNNNNNNNNNNNNNNNNNNNNNNNNNNNNNNNNNNNNNNNNNNNNNNNNNNNNNNNNNNNNNNNNNNNNNNNNNNNNNNNNNNNNNNNNNNNNNNNNNNNNNNNNNNNNNNNNNNNNNNNNNNNNNNNNNNNNNNNNNNNNNNNNNNNNNNNNNNNNNNNNNNNNNNNNNNNNNNNNNNNNNNNNNNNNNNNNNNNNNNNNNNNNNNNNNNNNNNNNNNNNNNNNNNNNNNNNNNNNNNNNNNNNNNNNNNNNNNNNNNNNNNNNNNNNNNNNNNNNNNNNNNNNNNNNNNNNNNNNNNNNNNNNNNNNNNNNNNNNNNNNNNNNNNNNNNNNNNNNNNNNNNNNNNNNNNNNNNNNNNNNNNNNNNNNNNNNNNNNNNNNNNNNNNNNNNNNNNNNNNNNNNNNNNNNNNNNNNNNNNNNNNNNNNNNNNNNNNNNNNNNNNNNNNNNNNNNNNNNNNNNNNNNNNNNNNNNNNNNNNNNNNNNNNNNNNNNNNNNNNNNNNNNNNNNNNNNNNNNNNNNNNNNNNNNNNNNNNNNNNNNNNNNNNNNNNNNNNNNNNNNNNNNNNNNNNNNNNNNNNNNNNNNNNNNNNNNNNNNNNNNNNNNNNNNNNNNNNNNNNNNNNNNNNNNNNNNNNNNNNNNNNNNNNNNNNNNNNNNNNNNNNNNNNNNNNNNNNNNNNNNNNNNNNNNNNNNNNNNNNNNNNNNNNNNNNNNNNNNNNNNNNNNNNNNNNNNNNNNNNNNNNNNNNNNNNNNNNNNNNNNNNNNNNNNNNNNNNNNNNNNNNNNNNNNNNNNNNNNNNNNNNNNNNNNNNNNNNNNNNNNNNNNNNNNNNNNNNNNNNNNNNNNNNNNNNNNNNNNNNNNNNNNNNNNNNNNNNNNNNNNNNNNNNNNNNNNNNNNNNNNNNNNNNNNNNNNNNNNNNNNNNNNNNNNNNNNNNNNNNNNNNNNNNNNNNNNNNNNNNNNNNNNNNNNNNNNNNNNNNNNNNNNNNNNNNNNNNNNNNNNNNNNNNNNNNNNNNNNNNNNNNNNNNNNNNNNNNNNNNNNNNNNNNNNNNNNNNNNNNNNNNNNNNNNNNNNNNNNNNNNNNNNNNNNNNNNNNNNNNNNNNNNNNNNNNNNNNNNNNNNNNNNNNNNNNNNNNNNNNNNNNNNNNNNNNNNNNNNNNNNNNNNNNNNNNNNNNNNNNNNNNNNNNNNNNNNNNNNNNNNNNNNAUGAAAUACAAGUAUGCAACCCAAGAGGGGGGUGAAUUGGGAUUCUAAAAAAUUAUUCAAUUUAUUAAAGAAAAUCUUAAUGCAAUUAUAAAUCAAAUUGAAAGCAAUAACAAUUAAGAAGAUCACAAUAUAAAAAACCGUUUGACUGGUCAAUACGACCGUUGAGCUGAUUUUUCAAAAUGUCGGAUCGCCGUUAUCUAGAUGUCGGAUCGCCGUUUGUGUCCAGAGGCUACACUUCACUUCUGGUUAAUAUCGGCGAGCCGUUUAUCACAAUUGUCGGAUCACCGUUUUUGUCCAGAGGCUACUGGAUGUUUGUUAUCAUCAAAAUCAAUAAGGAAUAAUUUAUGUUAACACCUAAUACUUCUACCACAAACAACCAAGUUGCGGAAAUCAUCAAUAUCAAUAAAAAAAUGAUUAAGUACCUUUUGACCAUCGAAGCGAUCCUCAAACUGCUUAGCCAAGGCAGGAGUGGGGAAGUGAAUCCUUGAAAAUUCAGAGACCUCUCGAGGUGGUAUGGGAUUCCUUGGAGGCACAGAUUUACGCCUAGGAUUUCUCCGAGAGGGUUCAGCCAUGGAAACACGAAAGUAAAUCGAUAAAAGGUUUAAGGAAGAGUAGAGGAUGUGAGUAGGAUGUUUAAUUUGGUUGAAGAAAGGUGGAAUUCGGAUUAAGGAAGAAGAAACUCGACCCGCGACAGUUAGGGUUUAGAUUUGGGAUUUUUGAAUUUUGGGCUCGAUUUGAAGUUUUGAAUCGAUAGAAAUGUUCUAAAGGUGAUAAGAAAUGAUUUUGAGGGUUUGAUUUGGCACGGAAAGCAAGAAAAAUGAGGAUUUGAGGACAAGGAGACCUUCGGCUGCGCAACAAUGGAGGAAACGGUGAGAGGGUAACUGGAGAAGGAGAAGAAAAGCUUUGAACAGUUUUUAUACUUCGAGAAAACGGUUAACCGUUUAUUGAAACGGUUAAAGGUUAACUCCCAGGGGCUGAAGAAACAGAAACGGUGUAAGCUUAAGCGCUUAACGGCUAAGGGGUAACUGUUAGAGGACUCUCUGUUCAAAAACGGUUCACCGAUUGUGGCAAACGGUGAAAGGGUAACUGGACAGACACACAAUCUCGUUUCUGGAAUUAAACGGUGAUCCGUUUACAGGAAACGGCUAACCGUUUAUUUUAUCUGUAAUUUCGCACAUUUGAUUUAAUUUUUGGCUAGCAAAUAAUAUAUUUCAAGAUCAUUUGAUUGAUCUGAAAAUAUUUUAUGAGCCAAUUUAAUUCAUGAUUCAUGAACAUGUUUUCAACCAAUCAAUUCAUAUAAUCAAGAUAUAUCAAUGCAAAUUCAUCAUUUGUCUACCAAGCUCAAGCAUUUUAUAAGUAGUAAUCAAUCAAUUUAGUACACUCAAUAGCAUGACUGCUGUACGGCCAAGGCGGAUGUACGGUACAGCAGAUUAUCAGGUAUGGUAAAAUGGUAUUUUGACUUNNNNNNNNNNNNNNNNNNNNNNNNNNNNNNNNNNNNNNNNNNNNUCCAGAGAGUCCUCAAAACAAAUUCAUAAAAACGGCGAGCCGUUUAUAUCAAUAACGGCGAGCCGAUAGGGUCCAGAGAGUCCACACAAGAAAAAUGUAUCAGGACGGCGAGCCGAUAGACAGAUAUCGGCGAACCGAUAGCUUCCAGAAAGCGUUCCAUUGUUUCUGCCCAAAACGGUUAGCCGUUUAUUUAAAUAACGGCGAUCCGUUUUCUACAACCUAUGAUUUCGCACAUGUAUUUUGAUAUUUGGCUACUUAUUAAUACAUUUCAAGAUCAUUUUAUUGAUCCAAAAUGAUUUGAGUGCCAUUUCAAUGCAUAAUUCAUGAAUAUAUAUAUAUGUAUUGCAAUAAUUAAUUCAUACAUUUUCAAAUAUACAUACACAUUACAUGCAUAUUACGAUUGAGCAUUCCAUAGAAAUUAAAGCAUCAAGUCAUAGAUCAAUCAAUAAUAAUAGACUCAAUAGCAUGAAUGAAGAUGUUAAUGUGAAAAUUUCAUCAUCCCAAGUUCAUGCCGAAUUUUGGAAAAUUGUUCUUCGCAAAGAGGUUUUGUAAAAAUAUCGGCAAGUUGUUUUUCCGUAGAAAUAAACUCUAGUGCAAUGUCUCUCUUUUGAACAUGAUCUCUCAAGAAAUGAUGUCUAAUUUCUAUAUGCUUGGUUCUAGAGUGUUGAAUGGGAUUCUUUGAAAGAUUUAUAGCACUAGUAUUAUCACACUUAAUAGGAAUUUGUUCAAGAUUAAUGCCAUAAUCUCUAAGUGUUUGUUUCAUCCAAAGUGCUUGUGCACAACAACUUCCGGCAGCUAUAUAUUCAGCCUCGGUAGUUGAAAGUGCAACAGAAUUUUGUUUCUUGCUAAACCAUGAAACAAGAGAGUGUCCUAAAAUAUAGUAAGUUCCACUAGUGCUCUUCCUAUCCACUUUAUAACCAGCAAAAUCCGCAUCCGAAAAGCAUGUUAAAUCUAUGUGAGUUCCCCUAGGAUACCAAAUGCCAAUAUCUAUGGUUCCACUCAAAUAACGGAAAAUUCUUUUACCAGCGAGCAAAUGAGAUUCCUUGGGACAUGACUGAAAUCUUGCACACAAACAUACACUAAACAUGAUAUCGGGUCUACUUGCAGUCAAAUAAAGUAGGGAUCCGAUCAUACCUCGAUACAUUUUGAUGUCUACUUCUUUACAUUUUUCAUCUUUGUCCAGCUUGGUUGUUGUGCUCAUUGGUGUAUUCUUGGUCUUUGAAUCAUCAAUGCCGAAUCAUUUGAGUAGAUCCUUUACGUACUUGGCUUGAUUUAUGAAAAUUCCUUCCUCGUUUUGUUUGAUUUGAAGUCCAAGGAAGUAUUUCAACUCUCCCAUCAUACUCAUCUCAAAUUCUUUGCUUAUACACAAUAAAAAUUCUUUACACAACAACUCAUUAGUAGAACCAAAAAUAAUAUCAUCAACAUAAAUUUGAACAAUAAGUAUAUCUUGGUUCUUAUGCUUAACAAAGAGAGUAGUAUCCACUUUACCCAUGGAAAAAUCAUUUUCUAACAAGAAAUUUUUAAGCCUAUCAUACCAUGCUCUAGGUGCUUGUUUUAAUCCAUAUAAAGCUUUAAACAACUUAUAAACAUGAUUUGAAAAUUUUUCAUUUUCAAAACCAGGAGCUUGUUUUACAUACACUUCUUCCAUAAUAUAACCAUUUACAAAAGCACUUUUCACAUCCAUUUGAAAUAAAAUGAAAUCUUUAUGACAAGCAAAUGCCAACAGCAUUCUAAUUGAUUCUAGUCUAGCUACGGGUGCAAAAGUUUCAUCAAAAUCAAUUCCUUCUUCUUGGUUGUAACCUUGAGUCACUAAUCUAGCUUUAUUUCUUACAACCACACCGGAUUCAUCCAUCUUAUUUCUAAAUACCCAUUUAGUACCUAUGACUGAUGUUCCAGUUUAUGAACUAAUUUCCACUCAUUGUUUCUUUCAAAUUGAUCAUACUCCUCUUGCAUUGCCAUAAUCCAAGAUUCAUCAUUUUCCGCAUUCGCAAAGGAUUUGGGUUCAAUUUGAGAAAUAAAUGCAUUAUGCUCACAAGUAUACUUAAGCAAUGAUCUAGUUGUAACACUCGUGAGGGAUCUCCUAAAAUUACAUCCUUAGGAUGAGAAGAAACAUACCUCUACUCCUUGGGGGGUGCUUGAGAAGUACCUUCAUGUUGCUCCAUAUUUGUUUACUCUUCUUGUCCAUCCUCUUGAUUUCUUUGUGGUGCAUUUUCUUGUUUAUUCUUUGAUGAUUCUUCUUGUAAUUCUCCAUCUGCAUCAUCAUAAAUAAUUCAUUUCUCCGCAAAGAAGGGAUUAGACUCAUCAAAUAUAACAUGCAUAGAUUCUUUUACAACUAGAGUUCUUUUAUUAUAAACUCUAUAAGCUUUGCUUGAGUUUGAAUAUUCAAGAAAAAUACCAACAUCGGAUUUUGGAUCAAAUUUGCUAAGAUUAUCUUUUGUGUUCAAAAUAAAACAUUUACAUCCAAAGACUUUGAAAUAACAAAUAUUGGGUUUUCUAUCUUUCCAAAGCUUAUAUAGAGUUUUGUUAAGAUUAGGUCUAAUCAACACACGAUUUAAAACAUAACAAGCGGUGUUGAUGGCCUCGGCCCAAAAAUACUUAGGCAAAGAGUUUUCAUUCAACAUGGUCCUAGCCAUUUCUUGAAUGAAUCUAUUCUUUCUCUCAACAACUCUAUUUUGUUGUUUUCUAUCUUUCCAAAGCUCAUAUGGAGUUUUAUUAAGAUUAGGUCUAAUCAACACCCGAUUUAAAACAUAACAAGCGGUGUUGACGGCUUCGGCCCAAAAAUAUUUUGGUAAUGCAUUUUCAUUUAACAUGGUCCUAGCCAUUUCUUGAAUAGACCUAUUCUUUCUCUCAACAACUCCAUUUUGUUGUGGAGUUCUAGGUGAAGAAAAUUGAUGCUCAAUGCCUAGAUUAUUGCAAAAACUCUCAAAUGCAUGAUUUUCAAAUUCUCCUCCAUGAUCACUCCUAAUGCAUACAAUACCAUGCCCUUUUUCAUUUUGUAAUUUCUUACAAAGCAUUUUAAAUGCAUCAAGAGCAUCAUCCUUAUUGGCUAAGAAUAAUACACAUGUAUAUCUACAAUAAGCAUCCACUAUCACAAAAGCAUAAUAUUUGCCAUUUAGACCUGCUGUACCGACUUGCAUAUCUAGAUGGCCCAAAAAUAUCUAUGUGAAGAAGUUCAAGUGGUGGUUUUGAAGUAGAAAUAUGGUUUUUAUUCUUGAAAGAAGUUUUAAUUUGUUUUCCAAAUUGACAAGCUUCACAAAUCUUAUCCUUUUGAAAACUAAUUUUCGGAAGCCUUUUAACUAAAUCAUCUUUCGAAAUUUUUGAAAUCAAAUCCAUACUUGCAUGUCCUAACCUUCUAUGCCACAACCAACAAUCAUCAUGCAAUGCCGAAAAACAUUUAUCAAGAGUAGAUGCACAUUCUAUGUCAAUGAUAUAAACAUUACCACAUCUAUUUCCAACAAAUAAGGUUUUGCCAUCACAUGAGUUCUCAAUAACACAACUAAAUUUAUCAAAGAUAACUUUAUAACCUUUGUCACAUAAUUGACUAAUGCUAAUUAAGUUGUGUUUCAAGUUUUCAACCAAACAUACAUUCUCAAUUAAAGUUGAAGAGACUUUACCAACAUUUCCAAUUCCAAGAAUUUUUCCUUUUGAAUUGUCUCCAAAAGAUACGUCUCCACCAUUUUCAAUUUUGGUGAAGCUUGAGAACCAUGCAUAGUUUCCGAUCAUGUGCCUUGAACAACCGCUGUCCAAGUACCAUUUAUUCUUCUUCUUCUUCAAGCCCUACAAGAAAAAGUCUCAAGUUUUAGGUACCCAAAGCUUUUUGGGUCCUUGAGAGUUAGCAACGGUUCCUUUUGGAACCCAAAUGCACUUGACACCAUAAUAUGCAUUCCUUUUCACGGGACAUUUAAAUUUCAUGUGACCAUUUUUAUUACAAUAAUGACAUACAAUCUUAUGAUCAUUUGUGGAGGUAGCUUUAACAAAAUAAUUCUUAUAAUACUUUUGCUUCAAGUUUGGCUUAUAUCCAAGUCCUCCUUUAUCAAAAACACAUUUUUGUGAGUUAAGCAUAUUAUCCAACAUCUUUUGCCCAUUUGUAAAUUUCAAUACAAUUUCAUUUAAUUUAUUAUUUUUUUUCUUGAGCAAUUCGUUCUCAUUUUUCAACUCAUCUAUGUGUGAUUUCAAAUGCUCAUGUAAGAUGCUAGGUUUCUCAUUUGAUAAUGCAAUUUCAUCAUGCAAUGUUUUGUUUCCUACUUCUAGGCAUACAAUUCUUGCAUUUAGAGAUUCAUUUUCAUUUUUAAGCUUUGCCAUUUCCUUUUUAAGACAUACAUUCUUUUUACCAAUUUUCAUCAACUCAUUAUGCAAAUCUUGAAAAGCAUCAUAUAAUUCAUCAUAGGUAGGAUCACUUACCUCAUUGAGAUCAUCAUCCCCUCCUAUUGCCAUGAGUGCUAGGUUUGAUACUUCUUGCGAUCCUCUGCUGUACGGCCAAGGCGGAUGUACGGUACAGCAGGCUUUGCUUGAAUUUGAAUAACCAAGAAAAAUACCAACAUCGGAUUUUGGAUCAAAUUUACCAAGAUUGUCUUUUGUGUUCAAAACAAAACAUUUGCAUCCAAAAACUUUAAAAUAUCCAAUGUUGGGUUUUCUAUCUUUCCAAAGCUCAUAAGGAGUUUUGUUAAGAUUAGGUCUAAUCAACACCCGAUUUAAAACAUAACAAGCGGUGUUGACGGCUUCGGCCCAAAAAUAUUUUGGUAAUGCAUUUUCAUUUAACAUGGUCCUAGCCAUUUCUUGAAUAGACCUAUUCUUUCUCUCAACAACUCCAUUUUGUUGUGGAGUUCUAGGUGAUGAAAAUUGAUGCUCAAUGCCUAGAUUAUUGCAAAAACUCUCAAAUGCAUGAUUUUCAAAUUCUCCUCCAUGAUCACUCCUAAUGCAUACAAUACCAUGCCCUUUUUCAUUUUGUAAUUUCUUACAAAGCACUUUAAAAGCAUCAAGAGCAUCAUCCUUAUUGGCUAAGAAUAAUACCCAUGUAUAUCUAGAAUAAUCAUCUACUAUCACAAAUGCAUAAUGUUCGCCAUUUAGACUAGCAUAUCUAGAUGGCCCAAAUAAAUCUAUGUGAAGAAGUUGAAGUGGUUUUGAAGUAGAAAUAUGAUUUUUAUUUUUGAAAGAUGUUUUGAUUUGUUUUCCAAAUUGACAAGCUUCACAAAUCUUAUCCUUUUGAAAACCAAUUUUCGGAAGACCUUUAACUAAAUCAUCUUUCGAAAAUUUUGAAAUCAAAUCCAUACUUGCAUGUCCUAACCUUCUAUGCCACAACCAACAAUCAUCAUGCAAUGCCGAAAAACAUUUAUCAAGAGUAGAUGCACAUUCUAUGUCAAUGAUAUAAACAUUACCACAUCUAUUCCCAACAAAUAAGAUGUCUACCACAACAGCCAAAUGGUUUUGAUUGCGGCUACUAUGUGAUGAAGUAUAUGGAUAGUCCUUGUAUUGUUGUCCAUAACUCUUAUCAGGUUUGUACAAUUGUAUCUUAUUGGUGUAUAAUAUCUUUUCUAUAUUAGAUUAACAAAUAAGGAUUUAUAUCAAUAGGAUGAGGAUCGACUUUUUAAAAAAGGUUUUUUUUUUAAACUAUUUCAGCAUGACUUGGAUCAUGCUCGCCUUCUUCUAGCUCUUUAUUUGCUGCAAUCUCCGCUUAACAAGAUCAUGCGUCGACUUAUUCAAGAGGCGCGCAAGUUAUAGGUUGACUGUGAUGUCUUUUUUUUUUUUUUUUUGUUUACCAAACAAUUUUGUAGCAUUGUAGCAACGUUAGGGUAAAAGAUUGGCAAUUGUUUUUGUGAUGCCACCCCAUUUGUUGGUAUUUUGUAUAGCAACUAGUGUUGUUGUAGAAUCCCCAAGUUCACUAACCUGGGUUAGCUGAUGGGUGGCCCUUUUAUUUUUUGGCUGAGGGUGCUUAUUUUACAAACAUGUGUGUUCCUGCAAGAUUACAAUUACUGCGCAGGCGUACAACAACUGUGAUGGCCCUAUUAUUUUUUGUAUAUGUGAGGGUGUUUAUUUAGCAAGAAAUUGUACAUGUAAUGGUUAAUCAAUUGAUGUGUACGCUUCUGUACAAGUUUUCUGUUUUUCUUGAUUUCAGUUUUUUCUUUUUGCUUGAUUUCAGUUUUUUCUUUUUUAAGUGCAAGAGUAAAUGCUGGACAGUUUGGGAUUGUUAUUUGGCUAUUGGGAAAUGAGAAAGGACAAUGAAAAACUAAACUCAGCACCAAUUGGUUAUGUGGAAUAAAAUGAGUAUUACAGGUUUGUCUAACUAAAGGCCCCUUCGGUUUCUGAUCUUGAAAACUUUGUUCAAGAAUUUGAAAACAGGUGGGGAGAACAAUAUGUUCUUGUUAAACAAAUAAGCCUUUGGAUAGAUAGAUUUAAAGCACAUGUAAAAUAGUUUACCAUUUUUUAAAUGCUCGUUUUCUACACACCAGAGACUACAAUGUAUGUUUUUCCAAACUUAAGAAUUCUUCUAAAUUUUACGUUAAAUUAGCAUUUUUUUUCAUAAAUAAUAUAACUAAAAAUAUUUUUGGUUCUGUUCAUUUGACAAAAAAUGCCUCAUUUGACACCCAGAGGGGUUGGAGAAAAAAGUAAAAUGGCUUAAAAUUUUUAGUCUUUUACUGCUUUUUAUAUUAAAUAGUUUGAAUAGAAAAUAUUGUUUGACAAUUUAAGUGUUGAUUCUUUCAUUCUUUUAAAAUUGUUGGCCUAAAUGGCGAAGAAAUCAUUAAUUUUUAUGAUAACAAUUAAAUGAAAAAAAUGUAAUUUAGUAUAUUUAUAAUCUCAUAUUUGUUUAAAGGUAAACUUUCUACCCUAACUAAAAUCAAGCUCAAGGCAUAAAUGAUCAAUGAGAGCUAUAAAGAGGGUACUAAGUCGAAUAAUUCACUUUUCCAUACUCCUAAUGCUAAUACACUUUACUGUGUGCAUGAGUUAAUAUCUUAAAAGCUCAAGGCUUCCUUUCAUAAUCUCUAUAACAAAUUAUCAAUUUUAUUUGUAUAAAGUUGUAUAUUUUACAAGGCAAAUUAUUUAAUCAAAACGAGUAUUUAAUGAUUUAUGGACCACAUCAAGAAUAUUUCAAUUUUUUAGCUCCUUACGUUUUAUUUUUAAACGCUCAAAAAGGACCUAUACGAAAAUAAUUGAACAUACUCCUUCAAAGUAUAAUUACAGAAAUUAGUGCUCAUGGACACAAAGUUUGCGGCUUGCCUCUUCCUGUCAAGCGGCUAAUCGCUUGAAUUCACUUGCAUGCCAGAAACAUAGCGGCAACCCGCCUUCCAUACGCGGCUAGCCGCAUGUGCUACGCUUUUGAUAACCCAUUCCCGAAACAUAGCAGCUACCUCCUUCCACUAUUUUCCUCCUCAAUUUUUUAGCGGUCUCUCUUUCCUCUCACUCUCUGAAAAUUGUGCACUUCUUGCACAUUUUGUCUCCAAAUUCACUCUCCGAAACCAAUUUUCAUCCAUUUUACCUCAAUUAUCAACUCCCAAACUCUCAUUUCAUCCACUUCUUUCAAAAAUCCCAAAUCUUGAACCCUAGGUUACCACUUUUUGGAAUCUUCAAUUUCACCCACUUUCAGGAAUCUUCAUAUGCACGCACAACUGCCUUAUGGGAGAAAAUGGAACGAAAGCUUAGAAUUAAUCCAACGAAGAAUUCAAAUUACUUGGAAUCUCAAUACAAAUAUUGGUACUUGGACGCAUUUAGUAGGAAUAUUGAAUGCAAAAUCAGUGGACCAAUAAGUUGAUUGAAACAAGCAAACCCAAAACUGAGACAACUAAACCGAACCAAGAAAAUAUUUUAGAUAUUUAACCCACAUCAUUAUACUCCUUCAAAGUAUAAUUACAGAAAUUAGUGCUCAUGGACACAAAGUUUGCGGCUUGCCUCUUCCUGUCAAGCGGCUAAUCGCUUGAAUUCACUUGCAUGCCAGAAACAUAGCGGCAACCCGCCUUCCAUACGCGGCUAGCCGCAUGUACAAUAUUUUUUGUAACCCAUUCCAGAAACAUAGCGGCUACCCGCCUUCAAUAUGCGGCUAGCCGCAUGUGCUACGCUUUUGAUAACCCAUUCCCGAAACAUAGCAGCUACCUCCUUCCACUAUCUUCCUCCUCAAUUUUUUAGCUGUCUCUCUUUCCUCUCACUCUUGCUGAAAAUUGUGCACUUCUUGCACAUUUUGUCUCCAAAUUCACUCUGCGAAACCAUUUUUCAUCCAUUUUACGUCAAUUAUCAACUCCCAAACUCUCAUUUCAUCCACCUCUCUCAAAAAUCCCAAAUCUUGAACCCUAGGUUACCACUUUCUGGAAUCUUCAAUUUCACUCACUUUCAGGAAUCUUCAUAUACACGCACAGCUGCUUAUGGGAGAAAAUGGAACAAAAGCUUAGAAUUAAUCCAACGAAGAAUUCAAAUUACUUGGAAUCUCAAUACAAAUAUUGGUACUUGGACGCAUUUAGUAGGAAUAUUGAAUGCAAAAUCAGUGGACCAAUAAGUUGAUUGAAACAAGCAAACCCAAAACUGAGACAACUAAACCGAACCAAGAAAAUAUUUUAGAUACUUAACCCACAUCAUUCAAUUUUAAUCCAAUUACUGGGAACACGGGACGCAAAACCUUUGCAACUACAAUUGAAAAUACAUCAACCGAAAAAUGGAGAAACCACAACCAAAAGUAGUGACCUACUUAACCAAAAAAAUUUUCUAAAAAACCUGGUAUGCAACCUUAUUAACUGGUAAUUUGACGAGGGAAUAGGAAUAAUUAACAUAAAACUAGAGAAAACGUUAGUUCAAACGCAUUAACCAUUAAAAAACCUGAUAAGUAACCUUAUUAACUAGUAAUUUGAUGAGGGAAUAGAAAUAAUUAACGUAAAACUAGAGAAAACAUUAGUUGAAACGCAUUAACCAUUAAUAGAGAAAUUAGAACGAAAACUUGGAACAUAUUCAAAUUACUUGGAAUAUGACAUUAUAUAUUGGUACCCGACGAAGUUAGUAGGAAUACCAAACGUAAAAUUUCCGAAUUAAUAAGUUGAAACUAUGAACCAAAAAAUGAAACCUAUUAACCAAAAACUGAGACAAUCAAACCAAGAUAAAGGUUAAUGAUAUUUAACGCACGUAGUUGAAAUUUUACCGAAUUAACUGAAACCAAGAACGCAAAGCCUGUGAAACUAUAAUUGAAAUACAGCAACUAAAAAUGGAGAAAGACCAACCAAAAUUGGUUACCAACGUAACCAAAAUAAAUAUCUACAAACCAAACCUGGUACUUAACCUUCGGAACUGGAAUUUAAACGCAUUAAUUGGAAUAUUUAACGUAAAAUAUGAAUAUUAAACACAAAAUAAUUGAACCAAUAAGUUAAAAUAUAUUAACAAAAAUGUGAGAAUUAUUUACCCCAAACCGAGACAAAUCAAACCAAGAAAAAUGUUAAUGAUAUUUAACCCAUGCAAUUGAAAUUUCAGCAAAUUAACUUAAAUUCAGAACAUAAAAGCUGUGAAAUUUUAAUUGAAAUACGGCAACCACAAUUGGAGAAAGAGCAACCAAAAUUGGUGAUCCACAUAACCAAAAUAAAUUUCUAGAAACCAAACCUGGUACCAAACCUGGUACCAAACCUUAAUAAUUGGAAUCUCAACGAGUUAAUUGGAAUAUUUAACGUAAAAUUUGAGAUAAUAUUAGUUGAAAUAUAUCAAUCAUUAAGGGAGAAAGUAGAACGGAAACUUGGAAAAAAUCCAACGAAAAAUUCAAAUGACUUGGAAUCUAACAACAACUAUUGGUACUUGAUGAAUUUAGCGGAAAUAGUGAACGCAAAAUUAGUGAACCGAUAAGUUGAAACAUGUUAACCAAAAAGUGAAAAUUAUGAACCAAAACCAACACAAAUCACACCAAGAAAAUUGUUAAUGAUAUUUAACCAAAAUAUUUAAAAAUUUUCCGAAUUAACUAGAAUAAGGAACGUAAAGCCUGUGAAACUAUAAUUGAAAUACAGCAACCAAAAUUGGUUACCAACGUAACCAAAAUAAAUAUUUACAAACCAAACUUGGUACUUAACCUUUGGAACUGGAAUUUAAACGCGUUAAUUGGAAUAUUUAACAUAAAACAGGAGAAAACAUUAGCUGAAACCCCCUAACCAUUAAAAGAGAAAGUUGAACGCGAAUUGGAACGAAAAAUUCAAAAUGACUUGAAAUAUCACAACAUAUAUUGGUACCUAACAAAGUUACUAGGAAUAUUAAACGCAAAAUAAGUGAACCAAUAAGUUGAAACAUGUUAACAAAAAUGUAAGAAUUAUUUACCCCAAACCGAGACAAAUCAAACCAAGAAAAAUGUUAAUGAUCUUUAACCCAUGCAAUUGAAAUUUCGGCAAAUUAACUGAAAUCCAGAACGUAAAACCUAUGAAAUUUUAAUUGAAAUACGGGAACCACAAUUGGAGAAAUAACAACCAAAAUUGGUGAUCCACAUAACCAAAAUAAAUUUCUCGAAACCAAACCUGGUACCAAACCUUAAUAACUGAAAUCUCAACGAGUUAAUUGGAAUAUUUAACGUAAAACUUGAGAUAAUUUAGUUGAAAUAUAUGAACCAUUAAGAGAGAAAGUAGAACGAAAACUUUGAACAGAUCCAACGAAAAAUUCAAAUUACUUGGAAUCUAACAACAAAUAUUGGUACUUGAUGAAUUUAGUGGAAAUAACGAACACAAAAUUAAGGAGCCAAUAAGUUGAAAAAUAUGAACCUACUAAUGGAGAAGCAUUACCAAAACUUGGAACUGAUCAAACAAAAAAAUUAAUAUCGUUAUCCAACCUGUAAAAUUAGAAUCUUGACAAAUUAGUUGAAAUGUUAGACGUACAACUAAUGAAAUAAUAGUUGAAAUAUUUAAACCAAAUGUGGAGAAAGUUUUAUCCAUUUUUGAAAUUAAUCUAACAAGAAAUGGUUUUAUUUCGAAUUUAACCCAAAAUAUGCGUAUUUUACGAGUUUAGUGGGAAUACUCAACGUAAAACUAGUGGAUCGAAAAGUGGAGAUAAGCAAACUAAUUUGUGAGAAAGUGUAAUUAAAAUUAGGUACAUGUUAAAUUAACUUGGAAUAUCACUAAAUAUAUUGAUAUUUAACCAAAACAAAUCAAGACAUACUUAUUUUAAUUAUUUUAACUUUUAUUCAAGCAAAAUAUAAUUUUUCCCCUUAAAUAUUGUUUGUGUUCAAUAUUUACUAAAUUUCCUUGACUUUUUCCAUUUUAUUUUAUUUUUUCCACAUUAAAAAAAUUAUUUUUAAAAUUAUUAAAUGAACAACCGGUAAAAUACUGGUUGUUCAAGUUUUCUUGUUGAGGCGGCUGUAUUACAAACAGCACUGUAUUAUAGGAAGACUCACCAAAUUAUUAUUAGUUAGUAAUUCCGCAUCAGUACCAGCACAUCUGUACCAAACAUUUAAUGUACCUUCCAGAAAGAUGUCAACUUUUCUGGGAGAAAAGAAUUUACCUCUGAGAGAGUAAAGUUUGACUGUCAAAAUCGCCGCAAAAUGUGGAAAUCGGCUUUGGGAAUUUUUUCCUUAAAUUAUUGUUACUUUCUUGCAUACAAUCAUUAAAUAAUUACCCCGAAUCACAAUACCAACCACCUGAAGUCUAGGUACAUUAGUCAUGAUUUCCAGCAGGAAAUUAUUGCACCCAAUCGUGCGGUUGAAAUUAAAAAAGUGAAAAUUUCCACACUUUAGUAGCGUUUAUUUUUUUAUCUGAAAUUUAAAUAGAUUUGAAUUAUUCUAAAUUUUGAAUAGGUCUGAAUGUCUGAAUCUGAAUAAUAUAUUUAUUUUUUCGUCUGAAUUUCGAAAAAUAAGUAUUAAGUUAUUUGUUUUUUUCAACUUAAAAAGUUGAAAAUAUAUACUUUUACAUUUGUAUCCUUAUUAAAUUUGAAUGUCAAUUAAAUAAUAUAUUAAAAAUCAUAAUAUUUUAACAUUUAUAAGUAAAACUAUAUUCAAGUGAAUACAUAAUUAUUUUAAAAUUUUAAUAUAUAAAAUACCAUAAAUUUCAAAUUUUAUCGUAUAUAAUAUAAGAAAGAAAAAAUAAGGAUAUUUUUAUGUGGGGUAAAUAUUUAUAGGUGAGUUUUGAGAUAGACAUGUAUUUUUGACAUUAGCUUCCAUUAAGUAAAAAGUCAAAAAAAUUAGCUUAUUUUAUUAAGUCAAAAUUAUUUAAAAAAUCUCAUUAAAUUAUAAAAAUAAACACCUCUAAUUAACUUAAUUAAUUAAAUUAAAUCACUUUAAAUUAUUAAAUUAUAAAACAAACGCCACCUUAGUAUAGAAAUUUAGGAAUGCUAUACGCAAGCUUUUUCCACCUCGAUUCUAUAGUUUAGAUUGUCGGCCUUAAUAAUAAAUAAGUAGCACGUGGACCUCAAUUAGAUAUUUUCAGUUUCCGAUAAACCUUCUUGUUGCCUCUUGGUGGGACAUGGGAAACAGACAUCAACUCAGUUGAAGAGGAUUGGUUUUUUUUUAGUCGUGUUAAUAGUGGUAUGCUUCACUUUCUUCAUGACUCUUUGUAGUAUAUCAAAAGUUUCCCAUAAAUUUCUUUCUAAUCUCCGACUUUUACUUAUUUUGGAGUGUUUUGUUAUUUCUAAGUUUUGAAUUCUUGUAUUCAGUAAAGUCUUCACUUGUGUGUGAACAUAUAAGAUUGUGGCAAUUACUUAGAAAUUCACUAACCAAAACCAUGUGUAAGAUAUAAAUGCCAAAUUGACCCAUGAUUAAAACUCAUGCAUGUGGCCAUAUGGGUAUGUUUUGGAACCUAUUUUUCAAACUGAAGCUAGAAAAAAAAGGAGAGUUUGUGGGCCAGGGGCUGCUUCAUUACAUGUAAUUUUUCUCCAGCACUUGCAUCAUCCUUCUUGCCUUCAUUCCCUGCGUCUUUAUCACCAUUUAUUUUUCUUUUCUUUUCUUUUUUCUUUUUUUGGCAUCCCAUUAUUUGUGUGACCAAUUUGAUACAUAUAUGACAUAUGUAAUUGAAUUUAAUGUAAGCAUCAUUUGCAUAAUGAUCUUUUAAAAUAAAAGUACACAUGUUAUAACAUUAUUUUCUUAUUAUAUAGAUGACAUAAUACUUCUAAUGUAUUAUAAAUUUUCUCGUAUGUGUGAUCAAUUAUCCAUCGCUCUCCCAUUUAAUUGAUUGUGAGACUCUUUUGAAAAUUGGAUCAAACCAUGGCCAAUUACUCAAAUCAACCAAUAGCAAAAGUUUUCUAGAAUACAUUUCAAAUUUUCAAGCAUAAUUUUAUAUGUUGAAUCUGAGUACAUCUUUGGUUUUUGUUAUUUACUAUUCUCUCUUUCUUUCUUUUUUUCUUUUUUUUUUAACAUUGAUUUUUGGGUUACAAUUGACUCAACUGAUUUUAUUAGACUAACUAUUUUAAAAGUGGAAAGACAAAGGAGCUAUGAUAGCUAAUACCUAGACUCGUUGUUUUUUCAAUUUCAGUUUGGAAAUUUGAUGAUGCAUGCAUGGCAAAGUUUAGACUUAGAAGAAUCCAAAUUUAUUAUAUAUAGUUAUGUGGGGUUUGGUGUUAGCAUGUUGACCAAAUUCACCAACUUGAUUUUGCUACAUUAUUAAUUUAGCAAAAUCUAUUAAUCUUUGAUGAGCACGUAAAUACAUGUGUGUUAUCGAGGUCUUCGGGAGCCCACGACUAGUCCACUACCAAUAAUCGUGUCGUCAUUUGCAAUUGCGCAUCUCUUUGGGUGCGUUUGGUACACGUAUUGUAAUAUUAAAUAAUAUUUUUAAUAAAAUAAAAAUAUUAAAAAUUUAUUCUUUUAAAUAAAAUAAAUAAUAUUUAAAAAUAAUAUUUAUUUUUUUGGACUCACAAUUGCUUAUUCUAUUUUAUUUAAUAUUAUUUAAUUUUGAAAAAUAAAUAUAAUAAUAAGCUAUGACUAAAUAAUAUUAAAUACAAUAAAAUAAAUAUUAUUAAAAAUAAUAUUAAUUUUUUGAGACUCAUUACUGAUUAUUUCAUUUUAUUUAAAAUUAUUUAGUUUCAUGAAAGAAUAAAUAUAAUAAUAAGUCUAUGACUAUAUAACGUUAAAUAAAAUCAAAUAAAUAAUAUUAAAAAAUAUUUAUUUUUAAUAAAAUAAAUAAUAUUAAAAAUUUAUCCUUUUGAAUAAAAUAAAUAAUAUUAAUUAAAAAUUAUAUUUUAAGACUCACAGUUGAUUAUUUAUUUUAUUUAAUAUUAUUUAGUUUUCUAAGGAAUAAAUAUAAUAAUAAGUCUAUAACUAAACNNNNNNNNNNNNNNNNNNNNNNNNNNNNNNNNNNNNNNNNNNNNNNNNNNNNNNNNNNNNNNNNNNNNNNNNNNNNNNNNNNNNNNNNNNNNNNNNNNNNNNNNNNNNNNNNNNNNNNNNNNNNNNNNNNNNNNNNNNNNNNNNNNNNNNNNNNNNNNNGCUUAUCCAUGGUUAAUGAUGUCAAGGCUCGCACGGAGGAGGUGAUCUGGCUUCAAGGAUCUUCUUUGAAUUCAACAAAUAGAAAAGUCAACAAAUGGAUUGGUUGGUCGCUUCCAAAUUGGCCAUGGUGCAAGUUGAACUCAGAUGGUGCCUGUAAGGUGACUGGUGUAGCUGCUGCAGGGGGUCUGAUUCGCGAUCACAAUGGUCAUUGGGUGGCUGGCUUUGGGAUGUAUCUAGGGACUUGCUCAGUGACUAUGGCGGAAUUAUGGGGACUAUAUCAAGGAUUACUUCUUGCGUGGAAUAAAGGGAUCCGGUGGCUGUAUGCUGAAGUUGAUAGUCGUUGUGUUACUCAGCUUGUGAAGAACAACAUGGUGAAUUACAAUGAGUUCUCUCCUCUCAUUCGUGCUAUCCAAGAACUCAUCAGACGCAAUUGGCGGGUGGAGAUUACUCACGUUUACAGGGAGGCGAAUUUUGCCGCGGAUUGUUUGGCUACGUUAGCUUGUUCUCUCCCGUUAGGGCUACAUGUUUUUAACUCUCCACCUAAAGGGGUGCUCCAAUUUAUGUCUCAAGACAUUUACGGGGUAGCUUAUCCCCGCCUUGUUAUUUCUUAGCUCUUUAAAGAGCCCCUCUUAAUCAAAAAAAAAAAAUUAAACAAAAUAAAAUUUUAAACAAUUUGGACGUAUGUGCUAAAAAUUUUAAUUCUUUAGCAAGAUUUGAGCUUUUGAUAAAUAGGAGGGAGCAUAAUGUUAACAUUCAAAUAAAUGAAUCUCUACCCUCAAAUCUACUUUUUCAUUGAAUCCAAUGACCAAUAAUUGAAACCACAAAAAAAACAAAAUCAGGUGGUACCUUGCAACUGUUGCAAGAUAGUUGAGUCCCCUAUUUAUUAGUACAAGUAAAUUUUUGACUAAUCUCAACAUAUUGUAAUUUAUGUCUAUUACAACAAUUUAAUAAAAAAGUCUUGCAGAUGAUAGCUUAUUUAAAAAUUAAAAUAACUGGGCUCUACAAACUAUUCUUCAAUUUACAAUUUUGGAGUUUCUAAAGUCCCACAAAAAAUUAGUUUACUAGGUUACUUAUGGCUUGUUUGGGAUUAAGAUUAGGUAGUUGUGGCUUAAAAGUUACAAUACUAAAUUAUUUGAUAAACAUUAGCUACUAUAAUUUGAGAGUUAAAUUGAUUCAAUUUUAACUUGUAUGAUGAAAAAUAUGUUAUAUCUUUACUAAUUUUAUCAAAAUUGUUAUUUAAAAAUAAUAUUUAUUACAUAACAUUAAUUUUUAUUUUAUAAUUAUAAUUUUUUUCACAACAACUGUAUUUUAAAAGAUAGAAUACAUUAAUAAUACUCGAACAACAGAGAUUGAAACAACAAAAUAUUCAAAAAAUUAAUGAACUUUUUAACAAUUUCAGGUUUUUAUUACUGUAUAUUUGAGGAAUUAAAGUACACAUAUUCGGUAGUUGGUCAACUUAACAGCAGAGCGAAAUUUAUUUCUCUUAAAAAGUGAAAGUUGACAAAUGGAUAAAAGUAAAUGUUAAAUGCUAAGUUAUAAUAAUUGUAACAUAUAUUCAUUAUGUAAACCACACAAAUUAUAAGCCCUAUAAUUUUAUAUAGUUCACAUGAGAAAUGUAUAUUACAAUUAUUAUAAAUUAGAGGCUUCCAAAGUAAAUUUCUGAUCUGGAACCAACUGCAAUAUUUGAAAUCCAUCCCAUCAUUGCCUUCCUUGCUGUUAUCUCGAACUUUGUCAGAUUCGUACAUAUUUAUUUUUUAUUUGUAUUUUUGAUAAAUUGUACAUAUUUAGUCAACCAAUAACAAAUUAAACAAAUCAUGAUCUCAACUGGCCCCAACACGUGGGGCCAGUUGAGAAUAUUUUAGUAAUGUUUUCCGGCGAACGUUAAUGACAUCCACACGUGGGGGACGGAAAGCCAAUAACUAUCAUGCUAUUUCAUAAGAGACAGCGGGCCACGUUGUUGAGUCCUAUUCGCAGUCAGCUGUAGAAAUAUUUUCCUCAUUUAUUUUAUACGCGCAUGUGAUUUUUAUUUUUUUAUAACAUAUAUUCUUUUUUAAAUCACGAGAAAAAGACUAGCCCAUUAAAAUCAAUAAUACCAAUUACUUCAAAUAAAUUAACGAUGAUUGCAAUUUAAUUACUUAGACGUCUCCAUUAAAAUUGUAGUAAAACAUUUUUUUUUCUUUUAGAGGCUGACAGAUUUAUCUCUCAAGUUCACUACAUAUUAAAAAAGUUUAAAUUAAUUAAGUUGUUGGCCCAUUUUUUAUUGUUUGCUUUUUUUUUUUUUAAUGCUUCUUAUUGUUUGCUUAAGAAUUGAUUUAUUGUUGGAUUUUGGUGAAAAAUCACGAUUGGCAGAAAUAAAUGAGAUUCAUCAUUUAUAGCACUACCCGCACAAUUUAUCUGCCAACUUUGCUGGAUAGAAUUUUGCUAAUUAAUAAAUGAAGUGACGACUGGGGUAAAACCAGUGAGCGAAUGACGUGGGCACUGUCCGGCAACUUAUAUGCCAACUUGCUUGUGAGAAACGUGUCUCAGCAAGGAACCUUCUAUACAAUUGCUUGGCCUCCAAGCUUUCAUUCCCACUAAUUCCCAAGAUCAAACUAUGAAAAUUCCCACAAUUUUUCACUAUCACUCAAGCUUUUCUCUCAAUAUAAAAGCGGUUAAAUUUAACCAAGAAACAUAAUUUCGCAUAGAGUGAGUCCUAAUCUUUUAAUUCGUCCAGCUUACUAGGGCCAAGGCUUGAGCAUUUGAGACAGAGAUGGCGGUGAAGGUGAACCCAAGUGAUGAAGAAAUGGUCACGGCAAGGGCUGAGGCUAAGGCUGAGACAUAUUGGUUCAAGGCAAAGAAGGCAAGUGUGAUCCCAGCACGGAGGAGACUUGUGAAGCGAAUGGUGUUUGAUUGCUCGGUCCAAUUUCUGGCUUCGCUUUGCUCCAACUCCCACAAACCCAAAGUGUAAGCAAAGAUAAGGUCGUCUGUUUAUUAUAUAUCUUGAUGUGAUUUGUUGGUUCUAACCUUGUAAACUGAGUCUGUAAUUACAGAGUGUGCUUUUGUUGUUGCUCCACGGGUUACUUGUAAAUGUUUUGUCUGUAUAUUGAUGAGUCAUCUUUGAUUCUGUAUCUGAGUGGAGUUUCUCUCUUAUGAUAUUUACACUUCUUUAGAUGGAUCUGUGCUCUUUGUUGAUUGGGUGACAUGAUCAAAUCAAUCCUCAGCUAUAUACAUAAACAUACUGCAAGAGAAGUAACAUAAUUACGGACUUAAUCUUAAACACCAUAUAUGAUGAAAGAUUACAUAUUUUCCGGGAAACAGGGCCCCUUCUGUUUGUCUAAUGCAUGUUCUAACUUGUAAUUUCCACCAUUCAAAAAAAAAAAAGAAGAGACUUGUAAUUUCUCUUUAAAUGAUAAUUAUCACUAUGAUCAAUCCAACAAACGCACAAUUACCCGCCAAGGUUGAGGCUUCGGGUCAAGACUUGGGUGGGGUUCCGGCGGAAGAGAGAAUUUGGACUCUGAUCAAGCCGGUUCCAAAUCCCGAUUAAACAGCUUGGCUUUGCUCCAAUUAAAGUCUUCGACUGAAACAACCUCGCGAAGGUCGUCGGAAACUCAGAUCGGUGCUGUUGGGUGCUGAUGAUUGCAGGCGUCGGCAUCGCACAGACCAUCUGCAGAGCAAAAGCCGGCAAAAAGGUUUACUCAGUCGGAAAUUUUGAUCGGAAAAGAAGCUGUUUUCGCCGGAGAGGAGAAUUUUCCCCGGUGACAAGACCCUUUUUCUUCUUUGACUGGAAGGUGAGUCAGUCCAGUCGAUGAAAGAGAGAGAGAGAGAGAGAGAGAGAGAGAGAAAAGUUGGUUUGAAUCCAUGUAUUAAAUAAGAAUAAAUAAAGGUCUUCGGGAACUCAGGUUGGUGCUGUUGGGUGCUGAUGAUUGCAAGAGUUGGCGUCGCAUGGACCAUCUACAGAGCAAAAACCGGCAAAAACGUUUACUCCGUCGGAAAUUUUGAUCGGAAACGAAGCUGUUUUCGCCGGAGAGGAGAAUUUUUCCCCGGUGACAAGACCCUUUUUCUUCUUUGACUAGAAGGUGAGUCAGUCCAGUCGAUGAAAGAAAGGGAGAGAGAGAAAGAAAAGUUAGUUUGAAUCCAUGUAUUAAAUAAGACUAAAUAAUUGAAUUAAAAUACAGGCACUGGAGCUGGAGCACACCACGCCGUUCUUCCUUCGCAUUCCGAAGAAACGUGAUUAAUUUUUCAUUAAACAAAUGAACUUUUGAUUGUGUCAAUCGAAAACGAUGUACGGACACAGAGGAAACGAUCAUGAUAUGAUGAUGAUGAUACAUGGUCUCCCCCUAGCGAAAACGAGCAUGUAUUAUUAUAUCAAUAAUAUUAGGAAAACUAAAAGAUGGAUGAUGGACGGUUAGAUUCUUAUACAGUCAGAUUUAUUUUUCCUUUUUUUUUUUUGCCAUAUGGAAGAACACAGCUAUGGUGAUAAAAAUAUCAAUAUAAUUUUAAUUAAGGGGCGUAAUAGAUAAAUAUAAAAAUAUUAAUUAUCAUUAAAGAAGCAUAAAAAAUAAUUAAUAAACAGAAUUACGAUAAAUAAAGUUUUAAAAAUUUUAAGUAGAGAUGUAAAUUGGGUCGAAGUCACGUGAGCUUGAAUUGAACAAAGAGGAGUGCUAUUAGAACCCGUCCUUUGUCCUUUUCAAACCCCCUGUGGCUAUGUGCCGUCUUCAGUUAGUUAGUUUGUUUGUUUGCAAUAAUAGGAUCCUCUCUAAUUCUUAAUACAGGCUUUGUUCUCUUUUUACUUCAAUAAAAUCCUGUCAGAUAAGUCUUCCUCUUCAGUUUCAAACCCCUUUUAGUUUUAGUUCUGACUGUGAAUGCUGUUGCUAUAUUGGUAAGAAAAUCUACCAACAAUAUUUGUUUAUUUUUUUAAGUGUCAACGAACUUGAAGUUCAUCUGAACUAUUUUAGAAUGACAAAAGAGAAAUAUUGUAUUUUUGUUUCAAAUUAGGUAGCUUAGUGGGGAAGCGUAGUCAUGAGUAGUUGUGGUAACUGAAAAUUAAGUGGAUAAGGAGUAGAAACAAUAUAUCUUGCUCAAAUGCAAUGAGAUAAAACCUCAUCAAAUCUUGAACUUUUUAAUUGUCCCUUAAAUAAUUAUAAUAGUUGGAACAAUAUUUUUUUUUCUAGUAGAAUUUUGAUUGUCCUUUGAGAUAUUAAAUAAUUUUGUUAAUUUUAGAAGUUGAUGGUCACUUGAUGAGCAACCAAUUAAGAUUUUUUUUUUUUUUUAUAUAUAUACACACAGAACCAACGAAAGCAAUUCAUCCUUGGCACAUCCAGCUAUGCUUAUCAGACGAAAAGAAAAGACAAAAGGGAAAUAUCUUUUAGAAGAUUUGUAAAAUGAAAAUCUUUAGCAUCAUGGAAGAAAACAUCAAUUUACAAAAAUUCAGGUGUAUAUCCAUAACCCAAUUACCCAUACAGCGCAGUUGCCAGUUAUACAUCUUUAAUUAUGUUAAUGCAAAUUUUUGAUCGAUAAAAACUAAUUGAUUUUUGUUCUAGGAUUUCUUCAUUAUCAAGUUUUAUAGUACUUUUUCUCUUGAUGCAAGUGUCUCCAAUCAUGUUCUUGCUGUAGUUAAUUAUUCGGCUAAGAAAACAAAAAUUGUCGAAGGGUGUCGAGAUUGUCGACGAUAACCCUUCGACGCUCAAGUUAGUCAUUUGCACUCAAUUUUUUUAGAGAGAGAGAGAGAGAGAGAAUUUAGACGAAAGUGGACAACAUUUUUGUAUUUGUUUUAUGUCUUACCUCCAAAUGUGGGAGGUCUUAACCUUUACUAGACAACUUGAAGCAUUAAGGUAAAGCAGUUAUUAUGCAAAGUGGCAUUAUUAUUAUGACAAAUGUUUAUAAAGCUCAUUAAUAAUGGCACCUAUCAAUAUGUGUCUAUACUUAUUAAUGACAGGUAUUCUUUACAUACUAGUCCUAAUUUUUUGCUAUUACCCUUUAAUAAGCUCAGGCUUAACUUUGGCCUUUAUAUUGGUUCUUUAUUGAGAGGAUUGGUUAAGCGAUAUAUCACCUAUAAGCAAAGUCUUGUAAAGUCUUUACUUAUAGGCACUUAAUUUUUUCUAAAUAAUUGGCCUUAGUCCAUUCUUGUAAAGAAUGGCCCUACAUAAAUCUUUUUUUAAAAGUUUGCUAGUAGACUUAUUAGACAUAUUUAUAAAAUUUUGCCCCUAGGCAUGUUAUAUAAAGUGUUUGUUUGUUUGUAGGCGCAUUUUGUAGAAUUUUUUAUUUUUUGAUUUUUAAUUUUUUUGGCUUGUAUGCCCAUUUCAUAGAAUAUAUGUCUGCUUCUAAACUUAUUCCAUACAAUACAUGUUUGUUCUAUAGGCGCAUUUUAUAGAAUAUUUAUUAUAGAGAUAAAAUUUUCAUGAAAAGUAAAUUUGUUCAAAUUUUAAAUCAAAAUUAUAAAAAAAAAAUUAGACCAAAAUUAUCACCAUCUACCUAAUUUCUUUAAAAAAAGAAAAGAAAAAAACAUUGGCACUUUCUUAAACAAUUUUAAUGCAAUCAUGAAUGUGCAUAUUUUCCUCUACCAAAAAACAUUUUGAUCACUACAAGAAAAAUGACCUAUUAUGAUAGGUAAAAACUGUCAUCUUAGGGGGUAGAUGACGGUUAUCCUUACUGUCAUUAUAGCCAGCGUCAAGAAAAGAUGACAGAUAAAAUCGCGUCACAAGUUGUGAUAGAUUUUACCUAUCAUAAUUAUGUCAUACUACUUAGAAGAGGGAAAUUAUUUUUUUAUUUUAUAUUUUCAUUUUUUUAGAAAUUUUUGGAUUGUAUUUUUUUUUGGGAUAUCAAUUGUGUGUAUGACUAGUAUUUUCUAUCACAUUUCUGCUGUACGGCCAAGGCGGAUGUACGGUACAGCAGAUGCAAUGAGAUAAAACCUCAUCAAAUCUUGAACUUUUUAAUUGUCCCUUAAAUAAUUAUAAUAGUUGGAACAAUAUUUUUUUUUCUAGUAGAAUUUUGAUUGUCCUUUCAGAUACUAAAUAAUUUUGUUAAUUUUAGAAGUUGAUGGUCACUUGAUGAGCAACCAAUUAAGACUCUUUUUUUUAUAUAUAUACACAGAGCCAACGAAAAGCAAUUCAUCCUUGGCACAUCCAGCUAUGCUUAUCAGACGAAAAGAAAAGACAAAAGGGAAAUAUCUUUUAGAAGAUUUGUAAAAUGAAAAUCUUUAGCAUCAUGGAAGAAAACGUCAAUUUACAAAAAUCCAGGUGUAUAUCCAUAACCCAAUUACCCACACAGCGCAGUUGCCAGUUAUACAUCUUUAAUUAUGUUAAUGCAAAUUUUUGAUCGAUAAAAACUAAUUGAUUUUUGUUCUAGGAUUUCUUCAUUAUCAAGUUUUAUAGUACUUUUUCUCUUGAUGCAAGUGUCUCCAAUCAUGUUCUUGCUGUAGUUAAUUAUUCGGCUAAGAAAACAAAAAUUGUCGAAGGGUGUCGAGAUUGUCGACGAUAACCCUUCGACGCUCAAGUUAGUCAUUUGCACUCAAUUUUUUUAGAGAGAGAGAGAGAGAGAGAAUUUAGACGAAAGUGGACAACAUUUUUGUAUUUGUUUUAUGUCUUACCUCCAAAUGUGGGAGGUCUUAACCUUUACUAGACAACUUGAAGCAUUAAGGUAAAGCAGUUAUUAUGCAAAGUGGCAUUAUUAUUAUGACAAAUGUUUAUAAAGCUCAUUAAUAAUGGCACCUAUCAAUAUGUGUCUAUACUUAUUAAUGACAGGUAUUCUUUACAUACUAGUCCUAAUUUUUUGCUAUUACCCUUUAAUAAGCUCAGGCUUAACUUUGGCCUUUAUAUUGGUUCUUUAUUGAGAGGAUUGGUUAAGCGAUAUAUCACCUAUAAGCAAAGUCUUGUAAAGUCUUUACUUAUAGGCACUUAAUUUUUUCUAAAUAAUUGGCCUUAGUCCAUUCUUGUAAAGAAUGGCCCUACAUAAAUCUUUUUUUAAAAGUUUGCUAGUAGACUUAUUAGACAUAUUUAUAAAAUUUUGCCCCUAGGCAUGUUAUAUAAAGUGUUUGUUUGUUUGUAGGCGCAUUUUGUAGAAUUUUUUAUUUUUUGAUUUUUAAUUUUUUUGGCUUGUAUGCCCAUUUCAUAGAAUAUAUGUCUGCUUCUAAACUUAUUCCAUACAAUACAUGUUUGUUCUAUAGGCGCAUUUUAUAGAAUAUUUAUUAUAGAGAUAAAAUUUUCAUGAAAAGUAAAUUUGUUCAAAUUUUAAAUCAAAAUUAUAAAAAAAAAAUUAGACCAAAAUUAUCACCAUCUACCUAAUUUCUUUAAAAAAAGAAAAGAAAAAAACAUUGGCACUUUCUUAAACAAUUUUAAUGCAAUCAUGAAUGUGCAUAUUUUCCUCUACCAAAAAACAUUUUGAUCACUACAAGAAAAAUGACCUAUUAUGAUAGGUAAAAACUGUCAUCUUAGGGGGUAGAUGACGGUUAUCCUUACUGUCAUUAUAGCCAGCGUCAAGAAAAGAUGACAGAUAAAAUCGCGUCACAAGUUGUGAUAGAUUUUACCUAUCAUAAUUAUGUCAUACUACUUAGAAGAGGGAAAUUAUUUUUUUAUUUUAUAUUUUCAUUUUUUUAGAAAUUUUUGGAUUGUAUUUUUUUUUGGGAUAUCAAUUGUGUGUAUGACUAGUAUUUUCUAUCACAUUUCUGCUGUACGGCCAAGGCGGAUGUACGGUACAGCAGAUGCAAUGAGAUAAAACCUCAUCAAAUCUUGAACUUUUUAAUUGUCCCUUAAAUAAUUAUAAUAGUUGGAACAAUAUUUUUUUUUCUAGUAGAAUUUUGAUUGUCCUUUCAGAUACUAAAUAAUUUUGUUAAUUUUAGAAGUUGAUGGUCACUUGAUGAGCAACCAAUUAAGACUCUUUUUUUUAUAUAUAUACACAGAGCCAACGAAAAGCAAUUCAUCCUUGGCACAUCCAGCUAUGCUUAUCAGACGAAAAGAAAAGACAAAAGAAUUUUUUACUUUAUCAUUGAAAUUUUCUUCUGCUGUACGGCCAAGGCGGAUGUACGGUACAGCAGCUAUGUUGUUAAUUGGUAUAAAUUUUUGAAUGGUACAAAAGGCUUGAGAUUCAAACCAUGCUCAUAUGAGUGCGGAGAGUGGAAAUUGAGUAGAAACCACAAUACUAUUGAUAUUCUUAGAGGAUCUUUCCAUGUGACAUUCAUUCAAAAUUGUAACUAAGAGCAAAAUGUUUAACGAUUUUUAAUGUAUUGUACACAUAUGUAUCAAUCAAUAUCUUGUAAGAUCGAAAAAUUGAUAACAUUCCCUCAAGACAAAUGAAAAUGGAAAUGAACUAGUCAAUACCUGCAUUACCCAAAAGAGAAACAAGGGAUGGGGAACUCUGAUGUAAUAAUAAAUUAUCUGCUCGGUGCAAAAACAGCCACUAGAAACACACAUUGGUUGGAUGAUAUUGACAUUAUUUCCAACACACACAAUAGAAACAAUACCAAUUGCCCACCAAGUGCAUGACUCAAUGUGCGCCCAGACCUGACACCACUUCCUGCACAUGCGACUCGGCCCACAAUCACCACUAAUUUCAACGAAUUAGUGAAUUUAACCAAUGAAAUUGAAAAAAAAAGACUUUGCAUCACAGUGAACGAAUUUGAGAAUUAUCUAUAUAUAUAGUUCCAUGCAUCCACAAAAAAGUGAAAAAAAAAAUUAGUUAUUAGAAAACCCCAAAGAUAAAGCAGCCUAGACAAUAUCCCAACACCCAUCACGAUUAAAUUGGCAGGGAUCUUUACAGUCUAAAUCAAAUUAAUUUAACAAUAAAACUAUAAUAAUUAAAUUCCAAAAAAAUCAAAUAAAUGUUUAAAAUUCCAUAAAUAAAGAAACAUAGAAGACCAAUCAAAUAGAUCCAAAUUUAACAAGAGCACACCUAGGAUUUUCAAGUUUUACACGUACAGGGUUCAAAUUUGACAAGAAAACAUCUAGGUUUUACAAGAUUUAGGUGUGUAGGGUUCGAAUUUGACAAGAACACAUCUAGGGUUUUUAAGUUUACAUAUAUAGGGUUCGAGUUUGACAAGAACAUUAAAAUUGAAAUGGAACACAACACUAGAAAUAUUAUUUACCUGUAUUGAUCGAACGGUUACAAUAGUGGGUGAGCGUGGGCUCUCAGUUAGGGUAUUGAAAUUCAAUAGUAGAAGCACAUGCGUUUGGUGGGUAUUCCAUAUAGUUCUCGGUGAGAGCCAAAUUGAUAGUCAAAUACAAGAGAAUGGCGGCAGUGGUUCAGUGCCCAUGCAAGGAUUUCGGGUGAAAAGGGCUUUGUGAGUGUGAGAUUGACGAGAGUGACUGAGCGAGAGACGAGAGUGAGUGAGAGUGCCGACACUUAGGGAAAAAAAAUUCGAUUAGUGAAAACUGAAGAGGGUUUUGUUUUUAUUUAGCUUCAAUCUAAACGGUGUCGUUUCUUGUCCAAAGAGAAACUUUUAAUCCAAACGGUACCGUUUAUUCUUUAUUUAUUUUUUUCAUUCAUUUUAAAAUUUUCAGUCAACCUUGUGAAAUAAAGUCAAAAUAAAAAAGCUACUUGAUGAUCUAAAUUAUAUCACAAACUUGUCAUUACUUCUUGAUAACCAAAUAAUUUAUCAUCAGUCUAUCAUAAGUGCUUGAUAGAUGAAAUUUCUAUCACAAGUAUGUCAUAAAUGAAUGAUAGAAAAAAAAAUUAUCAUCCAUCUAUCGUAGUAGCUCUGCAGACCAAAAACUGUCACACAGAGGACUGUCAUGGUAGGUCAUUUUUCUUGUAGUGGAUCUUUUCAAAUUCGAUUUAAUUAAUUCAAACGGUCCUUGUCACAAUCAAUCAAUUACUAUGAUCUCUCACUUCAUGUGAUUGUUCAAACACUCUUUCGAUUUCAACUGUUCUUUCCAUUCGAAGACGAAUUAAAAAUAUAUAUUCAUAGGCUGAUAUUUAAUUAAGGCCAAUAUAGGGAAGUUUUAUAACAAGUUCUUGGAAAUUAUAUCCCUGGCCUUGUCAGUAAUUGGCCAAAAUGGAUGAAAACACCAUUUUUGGAGAAUGGAUUUAGUUUAUUUCGACUCCCACAAAGCAUUUGCUGCCUUGAAUUUCCCAUCAACUCCAGCAUGCAUGCAUGAUCUUAUUCUAUACAUAUUGAUCUCUAUCAACAUGUCAACUACAAUGAUUAAUGGUUCUCCCUUUCAAUUUCUUUGAAUCCCUUUAGCUGGAAUUGAAAUUUUUGAGUCCUUUUGAAGAGCAAAACAUUUUGCAGGUAAUUAGACUUGGUAUUGAAGGAUUUCACCAAAUUCGCACUUUUGUCAAUUUUAGCUCGAACUUUUGUCAAAUUCGAACUUUUGUCGAAUUUGACAGGUAAUUUAUGCAUGCGACUGGUCUUUGGAAUGAGUCAAUGGGAGGCAAAAUUGGUUGAGUAGCCCCCCUUUCACAAGCAUGCACGCACGGUUGGAGACUUGACCAAAUAAACAAUGUAAUUGAGUUGAUUAUGCUGACUAUACGCAGCUUUUGUUGUCUAAUUUGAUGAUGCUAGAGUCCCUUUAGAUAAGGUUUCUAGAUCUUAGUCGAUUGCAUUAAUUUUUUCUCAUAAACAAAUUAAUAAUUGGGUUUAAUUAGAUUCUUGUUCAGUUUUUCUUAAAAACUAAAAUUAGGUUCAAAUAAGAUUAUGUAAUAAAUUGCAAAGGGAAUGGGACAAGACAAUUAAUUUAUUAAUAAUUAAUGUAUUAGCUUACGUAGCCAUCGAACCAGUUCUAACUAAAUCAUAUUUAAUUAAUUAGAUCAUAAAUACUUUUGAUUUAAGUGUUAUGUAUUGGAUUUGCACAUGAUGUUCAUCUAAUAAACUACUACCAAAUCUAUGUUUCUUUUUCUAAUUUAUGAUGAUGAUUGUUUGUGGCUAUACACUGCUUCUUUGGGCUUUCUACUCACCUUCGAUUCCGGAUGAUGACGCAAGUAAAGCCUUAGCCUAGUGGUUGGCUUGUACUCUUUACAAAGUUGAGAGGCAACAAGUUUAAGUCCUUAAUUAAUAACAACUCAAAAUAUUUUUUCUGCCACAAUUGUGGAUAGAGCGUAUAUCUCCCUAUUUAUUAGUAAAAGUAAAUUUCCAACUAAUCUUAACGCAUUGUAAUUUAUGUAUAUUACAAUAGUUUAAUGAAAAAAAAAAGGCUUACGGAUGAUAGCCUAUUUAAAACUUAUAGCAACUGAACUCCACAAAUAAUACUUCAAUUUACAAGUUUGGAGUUAUCCAAAUUCCCGGGGAGACUAGUUCACUAGGUUACUAAAUGGGAAAUUUACACCAAUAACCAUAAAUUUUUUGAUAUUUUCACAAUUAAUCCUCUCAACUUUUUUCUAUCAACAUUAGCCAAACACAUUCUUUUCUCUCAAAAUUACCCUUCUUUACAAACCAAAAGCAACUUUCUUUCUCCCAUUUCGUUAAACCAAAGACAGCUUUCCACUCUUGAAUCAUCAACGGUGAUGGCAAAAGGAAACGAUAAAAGUGAAAUCCAAUCAUAAUUUAUUCGAAUCCAACACUAAUCGGUAUCACAUAGUGGUAUGAGUAAUUUUCUGAUAUUACUCAAGAGUUUCAGUGAACUGCGAGUCGUGGGUGAAUCUGGCGACAUGCACCUCUCGAGCAAGUUCAGAAAAUAACUCAUAUCACUAUGUGAUGCCGAUUAGUGUUGGAUCCGGAUAGAUUAUGAUCGGAUUUCACUUUUAUCGUUGCCUUUUGCCGUCGCCGUUGAUGAUUCAAGAGUGGAAAGCUGGCUUUGGUUUGACGAAAUGGGAGAAAGAAAGUUGCUUUUGGUUUGUAAAGAAGAGUAAUUUGGGGAGAAAAGUGUGUUUGGCUAAUGUUGAUAGAAAAAAAUUAGAGGGUUAAUUGUGAAAAUAACAAAAAUUUUAUAGUUAUUUUUAUAAAUUUUCCUUACUAAAUAGUACUGGAACAGUGGAGAUUGUAACUACAAAAUAUUCAACAAAUUCAUUAAUUCUUUUUAACUAUUUCAGAUUUUUAUGUUGUAUAUUACCGUUGAGAUAUUGGUCAAAUUAACUGCGGUAAAAAAAUUAUUUCUUUUUAAAUUAAUGUUAAGUUACACGCAUAUAAUUUACAAUCAUUUCAUAUAAAUAGUAAAUGAGCCCACUUCUCUUUAAUAGUAAAAGUUGACAAACGAGUAAAAGUAAAUUCUCGUCUAGAAAGAGCCGCAAUAUUUGAAAUGCAUCCUGCCCAUUGCCCGCUCCUUUUAGGUCGAACUUUUGUCAAAUUCGUACAUAUUUAUUUUUUUAAUCAUUUAACAAUAACAAAUUAAGCAAAUCACGAUCUCAACGGCCCCCAAGAGUGAAGUGUUGUUCAGGCAAGAAUUAAUGGCAUCCACACGUGGGGGCUGGGAAGCCAUUAAUUAUCAUGCUAUUUCAUAACGGACAGCGGCCACGUUGUUGAGUUCUAUUCGCAAUCAACUGUAGAAAUAUUUUAUUCGUGCAUGUGAUUUUUAUUUUUCAUAACAUAUUUUCUUUUUUCAAAUUCAUGAGAAGAGACUCGCCCAUUAAAAUCAAUAAUUCCAAUUACUUCGAAUAAAUUAACAAUGAUUACAAAUUAAUUACUUAGACGUCUUCAUUCAAAUCGUAGUAAAACAUUUUUUUUUUCUUUUAUAGGCUGACAGAUUUAUCUCUCAAGUUCUCCACAUAUAAAAAAGGUACUAAUUGAUUAAGUUGUUGGUCCAUUUCUUAUUGUUUGCUUAAGAAUCGAUUUAUUGUUGGAUUUUGGUGAAAAUUCAUGAUUAGCACAAAUAAAUGAUAUUCAUCAUUUAUAGCACUACCCCAUACAAUUUGUGUGCCGACUUUGCCAGAUGGAAUUUUUUUUAAUUAAUUAAUGAACUAAUUAGAGGUUACAUUUGAAGUGCCGACUUGUGGAAGAGAGUGACGUGGGCACCGCAAAGAGACAAAAAAUGGAUGACGUCAGCAAGGAAUCUUCUAUACAAUUGCUUGCCAUUCAAGCUUUCAUUCCCACUAAUUCCCAAGAUCAAACUAUGAAAAUUCCCACAAUUUUUCACUGUCACUCAAGCUUUUCUCUCAAUAUAAAAGCAGUAGACUAAACCAAGAAACAUAAUUUCGCAUAGAGUGAGUCCUAAUCUUUUAAUUCGUCCAGCUUACUAGCUAGGGCCAAGGCUUGAGCAUUUGAGACAGAGAUGGCGGUGAGGGUGAACCCAAGGGAUGAAGAAAUGGUCACGGCAAGGGCUGAGGCUAAGGCUGAGGAUGAGACAUAUUGGUUCAAGGCAAAGAAGGCGAGUGUGAUCCCAGCACGGAGGAGACUUGUGAAGCGAAUGGUGUUUGAUUGCUUGGUCCAAUUUCUGGCUUCGCUCUGCUCCAACUCUCACAAACCCAAAGUGUAAGCAAAGAUAAGGUCAUCUGUUUAUUAUAUAUCUUGAUGUAAUUUGUUGGUUCUAACCUUGUAAACUGAGUCUUGAAUUACAGAGUGUGCUUUUGUUGUUGCUCCACGGGUUACUUGUAAAUGUUUUGUCUGUAAUUUUAAUUAACUAUUUGGAAUAUUGAUGAGUCAUCUUUGAUUCUGUAUCUGUGAGUGGAGUUUCUCUCUUAUGAUAUUUACACUUCUUUAGAUGGAUCUGUGCUCUUUAUCGAUUGGGUGACAUGAUCAAAUCAAUCCUCAGCUAUAUACAUAAACAUACUGCAAGAGAAGUAACAUAAUUACGGACUUAAUCUUAAACACCAUAUAUGAUGAAAGAUUACAUAUUUUCCGGGAAACAGGGCCCCUUCUGUUUGUCUAAUGCAUGUUCUAACUUGUAAUUUCCACCAUUAAAAAAAAAAAAAAAAAAGAGACUUGUAAUUUCUCUUUAACUGAUAGUUAUCACAAUGAUCAAUCCAGCAAACGAAAAAUUACCCGCCAUGGUUGAGGCUUCGGGUCAAGACUUGGGUCGGGCUCCGGUGGAAGAGAGAAUUUGGACUCUGAUCAAGCCGGUUCCAAAUCCCGAUUAAACCGCUUGGCUUUGCUCCAAUUAAAGUCGUCGACUGAAACAACCUCGCGAAGGUCUUCGGAAUCUCAGAUCGGUGCUGUUGGGUGCUGAUGAUUGCAGGCGUCGGCAUCGCACAGACCAUCUGCAGAGCAAAAGCCGGCAAAAAGGUUUACUCAGUCGGAAAUUUUGAUCGGAAAAGAAGCUGUUUUCGCCGGAGAGGAGAAUUUUCCCCGGUGACAAGACCCUUUUUCUUCUUUGACUGGAAGGUGAGUCAGUCCAGUCGAUGAAAGAGAGAGAGAGAGAGAGAGAGAGAGAGAGAAAAGUUGGUUUGAAUCCAUGUAUUAAAUAAGACUAAAUAAUUGAAAAUAAAUACAGGCACUGGAGCUGGAGCACAUCACGCCGUUCUUUCUUUCGCAUUCCGAAGAAACGUGAUUAAUUUUUCAUUAAACAAAUGAACUUUUGAUUGUGUCAAUCGAAAACGAUGUACGGACACAGAGGAAACGAUCAUGAUGAUGAUGAUGAUACAUGGUCUCCCCCUAAGCGAAACGAACAUGUAUUAUUAUAUCAAUAAUAUUAGGAAAACUAAAAGAUGGAUGAUGGACGGUUAGAUUGGAAGAACAAGCACGGCUAUGGUGAUAAAAAUAUCACCAUAAAUUUAAUUAGGGGGCGUGAUAAAUAAAUAUAAAAAUAUUAAUUAUCAUUAAAGAAGCAUAAAAAAUAAUUAAUAUAUAGAAUUACGAUAAAUAAAGUUUUAAAAAUUUCAACGAAGUCACGUGAGAAAAAGGGUAGUGCUAUUUGAGAAUGACAAAAGAAAAAUAUUGUAUUUUUGUUUCAAAUUAGGUAGCUUAGUGGGGGAAGCUUAGCCAUGAGCAGUUGUGGUAACUGAAAAUUGAGUGGAAAAGGAGUAGAAACAAUAUAUAUUGCUGAAAUGCAAUAUAAUAAAGCCUCAUCAAAUCUUGAACUUUUUAAUUGUCACUUAGAUAACUAUAAAUAGGUGGAACAACAAUUUUUUUUUUUUCUAGUAGAAUUUUGAUUGUCCUUUCAGAUACUAAAUAAUUUUGUUAAUUUUAGAAGUUGAUGGUCACUUGAUGAGCAACCAAUUAAGACUCUUUUUUUUAUAUAUAUACACAGAGCCAACGAAAAGCAAUUCAUCCUUGGCACAUCCAGCUAUGCUUAUCAGACAAAAGGGAAAUGUCUUUUACUAGAUUUCUAAAAUGAAAAUCUUUAGCAUCAUGGAAGAAAACGUCAAUUUACAAAAAUCCAGGUGUAUAUCCAUAACCCAAUUACCCACACAGCGCAGUUGCCAGUUAUACAUCUUUAAUUAUGUUGAUGCAAAUUGAUUUUUGUUCUAGAAUUUUGUUGGGCCUUUUUUUUUUUUGUGAGCUUUUUUGCUUUUUAUGAUUUGGUAUAAUAAAUUAGUUGGGCGAUGAUCUCUCUUAACGAGAUUUGAAAUAAUAAAUUUAAUAAUUAAGAGUUUUGUUGGUUCUCACCCUUAGGUAAUUUACAUAUAAUACUUUUAAAGUAUUUAGGUAAUUCUUAUAGAGGUUGAAGUUACGUCAUUUUAUGUAGAAAAUUUUGUAGGGCCUUUUUUCUGAGUUUUUUUGCUUUUUAUAAUUUGGUAUAAUAAAUUAGGUGUAAAACUAUGUUACAACAGUGGUAUGGUAUCAUUGUUGCAACUAACCAUUGUAUCUAUAGUUGUACAGUUGCAUUUACAAGAUCCAAUGACUGAAAGUAACAGUAAUACCGUACCACUGUUACAACAUAACUGGACCCAUAAAUUAGUUGGGCAAUGAUCUCUCUUGACGAGAUUUGAAAUAAUAAAUUCAACAAUUAAUAAGUACGUAAUACCGACUCGAUACAAAACCUCCAUAUGAUAUGUCCUUGGAUUUCCUUUAGUAAUAUUUAAAAAUAUUUAUACCACCGUGGAAGGUUAUGAUGAUCUUGGCAAGCGGAAAUGACCAAAAGACCAGAUAAGGAUGUGCUAACCAUUAUUCAUAUAACACGUUUUUUGUUUUUCUUUCGGACCCUUCCCUAAAAGUAAUGAGGGUGAGUGGUUAGUGAUUUGCUAGUAUCGCUAAUCUGAUUUUAUUCGAGGUAAUUAAAAUUACACGAACAUCACAUCGAAUUGAAUUCAACAGGGACUAGCUAGUGAGCACAUGUAUGUUUUGAACUUUUGAUACGCCACUUGCUUUGUUAACGUCUACUAUGCCCUAACUAUACGUGUCAACAAAUUACGGACUGCUUCGUCCCGAAGUUACACCCAGAACAGAUCAUCUCCAAUCUCUCUAUUACACAUAAAAAGCAAACAUUUGGCAAAUUCUUAUUACCAUAUUGAAACUCAAAAAACAAGUUAGAGAGAGAGAGAGAGAGAGAGAGAGAUCCAUUGAGUUGGCGAAGAAAUUUAAAAUGAGCAACGAGGCAGGCAGGGUUAAUAAAGUGCAACCAGCACAAGAAGAAACCGGAAAGGCCAAGAUACAGAGUGUUGCCACUGUAAUUCCAGCACCAAAGAAGUUAGUGAAGACAAUGGUGUUUGAAUCAAUAGUCCAAUCUUGUUCUUCACUUUGCUCUUCUUCCUCUAGCUUCAACACUAAAAAAAAUGCCAAGAAGAGUAGGUAUGUGUCCCCAUAUACUCCAUAGCUAGCUAAAAUUGCCAAAGUUUUCCUAUGGAGGGUGAAGGGUGAUUUUAUAAUAUACUGCUAAUGUUCUUACAUAUUAAUUUGUUGUUGUAUCAAUCACAUAUUCCUUUCAAAUCUUGUCGUCGUCGUCGUCGUCGAUAUUCUGGAGGCGACGGCGGCAGCGGCGGCGUAUAUAUUAUGUUUAAUUUAUUAUGCUACUACUUGUUGUGACAAGUGAUGUGAUGGUACUGAAAAUUUCGGAGUUGGGUAAGUACGGAUCAUGUAACUUACAGACCCAGUGGCUGCCAGCUCUCAUUGCUUGUAUGUAUUUCAAUGCUUUUUCUCUCCCCUCAGGACACAUGGCUGCCAACCAUUGGGUAUGUAUGUUACAUAAUCCGUAAGAUAGCAAGCUCCAUUUCCUGAAUUUCAUGUUUAUAAAAUCACUGUAUGUUUUAUUGGACCACGACGUAGCUGGGGAUAUAACAGUAAUUUGAUUCUAUGCAUUCUUGCCUCUACACAAAGCUGUUUGCCGGUAGUUUCCAAUAUGUGCAAGUGCAUGCGUGCAUUUACAUUACGGGUUCCUUUAAUGAGAACGUGUCGGUCUCUAAUUUCGUGUUCGAUCUAUGAAGAUGACAAGAAAUUGUUAUCCUCCCACUCUACUUUACUCAAACAUGUACAUGUAUGUAAUCUUGUGCAAUGAUGACCAUGUAGAUUCUAAUAUAAUGUUUCUUAAUUCCUAGCUUUAUGUAAUCAUGGUGGGAUCAAUGAAUAGCGGAUGAUGAACAUGUAUGAAAUCUUGUACAAUGAUGAACAUGUAGAUUUUAAUCUAAUGCCUAUUAAUUCCCAGCUUUAUGUAAUCAUGGUGGGAUCAAUGAAUAACGGAUGGACACGACUUUUGAGACAUGUAGGACCAAAUUCAUUAAUCGAACGACAGUUCUAUAUGUAGCACAAAAUCUUUUAUGUGAAACAAAUCUUGGCCUUGCCAGAAGAAGAAACAAAACCUAGAUAUUAACAAGAAGUUCCUCUAACAUAUUCCCCACCUAAUUAACUCCAAAUGGAAACUUGGAAGCAUGUGAUCAUCUUCAAAUGGAGCAUAAUUACUAAUUAAAGCUGCAACACAUGGAAGCUAAGACGGAGGGAGUAAAAAAAGUGCUUUAAUAUUCUAAGCUCAAUUCUGAAAAAUGCGUGUGAAAUCUGCAAUUGCUGUCACUAUCGGUGAAAUGGGCAAGGCGAAAAUUGGCAGUUUACAUAUAAGGCAAUCAAUAUAAAACUGUAAUUGGCUACACACUAAUUAAUUCAAUAAAAAGAACAAUAUGCUUCUACUCGUUAAUUUGCCAUUAAUGACAAUCUCGUAACCAUUUAUUCUGGCACUUAUAAUGAACAUUAAGUUGCAUGUUUAUAAUAAAUAUAGGAAUAUGUAGCAGCAAUUUAGAAAUAUUUUUAUCCUGAGAAGGAGAUUAUGUUUAUUUGCCAUACCCCCGGAAAGUAAGGGAGUAAAGAAGCUGAAAAGGAAAUCUUGAUUCUUGUGGGGGUAAUUUGUCACUUCCCAACUGCUCCCCUUUUACUGGUAACUCACUCAUGACUGAUUGGACCGACCAAGGAAAAGUUACAUGAGAGAAAGGAGAGGAAAAAUAGAGAAGGCAAAAUCCAGAUGUGUCACUCGUAAUGUUGGUGGAUUUUCGAAUAUGGAGGCAAAUAACAUUAAGAGAAUUUGAUAGGAUUUGAGACGUGUUUGUACACUUUCUUUUAAGGUUUUAUUUAUCCUCACCAAUCUUGAUUUGUUAUAGAGUUUUAAUGGUAAAUUACCUCCAAGAUAUAACAAAUCCUGAAUACAAUCUCUAACAAAUAAGAUUGUAUUUCAAGAACACAUAUGAAAUCUGUAAUUUUCUGGUCUUUUAAUGUAAAGUGUGUGUCUAUUUUAAUGAAGAAGAUGUUUAUUUGAAAUAAUACAACCAUUAGAAAUGAUACUUCUUUAAAGACACUCUUUUGGUUUGAAAUUUGUAUCCAUUCACAAUUGAAUUUUUCAAGUCUGCUAACCGUUUUUUCAGUUGACGCGAAAACACACUCUUUGGAAGAAAACGGUUAGCUGUUUUCUCAAUAACGAUGAGCCGUUUUAUUCCAGAAUAUCAAAAUAAGUUGCUCUCUGGAAAUAAACGGUUAGUCGUUUUAUCCAAACGGUUAGCCGUUUUCUGUAGAACAUAAAACACGCUCUCUGGACGAAAACGAUUAGCCGCUUUCUCAGAAAACGACAAGCCAUUUUUUGCAGAAUCCACAACUACUCUCUGGACAAAAAUGGCUAGCCGUUUUAUCUAAAACGGUUAACCGUUUUCUUUCUAAAUUUCAAAUCACAAAAUAUUAGAAUCUCACUUACAUGUAAUACAUAAAAUACCCACAUCAUAAAUUAAUAAAUCAACUUAAUAAUUAUAACCCUUAUCCACGUGGGUCUAAAACAUUUAAUUUAUAUCUGCGGCUGAAGUUUGUACGCUGCUGCAUUUAGUUCCAGCCCUGGUUUAACAGGCUUGGUGCAACACAAAACUCCAAUGGCAUACUAUCAUAGAAUGAAAAAGAAGUAAAAAAGUGGAGCUCCGACCAGGUCACGUGGAUAUAAGACAAAUCAAAUGGUCGAAAGCUCAUCAAUUAAUAACAUAUCCGCAGGCUGCUAACGUGUGACAAGGCACCGAUUAAUUAGUGCUUUCCAUCUCAUCAUUUGACCAUCUUUUUACCCGCUUCUCUCAAAAGGCAAAUAAACUUUGAUCUCCAAAAUGCAUGAUGCAUCGCAUUCAGUUGGCUUUAAUUUCAUUAUUACACGCCGUUCCAUCGUUUUCAAAUCAACUUUCUAGUUUCAAAGAAUCUUCAGGUCAUUUUAUUUCUGCAAGAAGAGAAAUUGAAGGUUAGAAUGAACUUUUAUAAUAUUUAUCUCCCUUAUUAAAAUCAAUUUUUAGCAAAGAUACUGCAGUGUGUUACCCUACAGAUCAGAAAAAUAAUCUCUUCAAAUAUGCAUAAUCUUUUGGUUUGCGUCGAAAGGUAAAGAUACAAUCACAACAAAGGAAAUGAAGCACCCUUUAGUUCGUGAAAAAACUGGUGACUAGAAAAGGAAAUUACUCCAUAAAAUGGGACCGGCCGCAAUAUGAAUAGUAAGAUGAUGCAUGCAAAGAUCUUCCAAUUGGAAUCUAGCUUUAUUUGUAUUCUAAACGACAAAAUUAAUUAAUUCAUUUUGGACCAAAAUUUUUGGUGACGUUGCUAUUGGUGACGUAAUGUUUAUGAAGAUCAAGGGUUCAAUUUUGCGGGAUCAAAUUGUAACAUAAAAUCUUUGCCGUUCCAUAAAAAUAUAAAUUUUAAUCACUGACCAAAAAGUGGCCUAUAGAUCAAGACGAAUAUCCUGUGGCAUAUUUUUAAAAUGACUUUUUUGUGUAAUAUAUGAAGACAUCAUGUAUACCACUCAAGGGGGGGGAAAAUGAGACAUCUUGAAUUUAUUUAAGCUUGAGCAAUAAUGGGUACGAUUCAGAAGCUGUAACCUUCUGGCUUUGAUGUUGCUUGUCGCGUAUUAUCGUCCUUGCAACGAAAGAUAAAAGGCAUAUAAUAAUUUAAAUUGAACGAAUUACAGUACGAUCGUGAAGAAAAGGAAAUCAUUUAUUUUUUCAACAAAGCGCCGGUCGGCGGCCUUUUUAUUAAACAGAUCACGCGAAGCCUUUUUUUUUUUUUAACUAAAUUAAAAAGUACGUAAAAAAAUUGAAAUAUUAAAAUUAGAAGGAUUUAUUUAAAAAAAUUUUACGGCCCGUCCAAGCCCACGAGUGGCUUCGCCAUCGGCUGUAAAAUUCUAAGAGGAUUUGAUGAGAUUGAUAACUUUCUAUUGUACUUUAAUUUUGAGAUUUACUUUUUAUUCUUCUAUAAUUUUUAUAUUCCCCCAUUCUUGAGUAUCAUAAAAUUUAUAGCAGAUAAGUGACAGAAAUUAUCGAAAAACUGUAGGGAGAAAAGUAAAAACUACAUAAGAAUGAAAUUACUCUAUAUGUUCUCAAAAUUUUUGGUAGAAAAAUUUCAUGUGGCGAAAUUUGAUUAAAAUGCUAAAUUUAACCUUGUUCAGAAGUUUACGAAUUACAUGCAUGGUUUGGGUUUAAUUUAUUCCGAUCCUCUAGAAUUAAAUUAUAUAUGUGCUUAAAAUUCUGUUAAGCGUCAAUUUUAAUUCCCUGAAAAUUAACCAGCUGGUCGACGCGACGGUGACUUGACUUCCAAAGAUCGUAUGAGAAAAAAGUCCCUCGGCCUGGUCUGGGGGUGGCGUGGCAGGCUGCAAGUAUAGAUAAUAACAAAAAUCUUUAUCCAAAUCAAUGUGGGUCUCAAACGUUGAUUUUACUUGCAUGCAGAUGCCGAUGGUGAUCACGAACUUGUCCACUGCUCCACUUGUUUUUGUACGUGGCACCCAAAUGAUCAUGCCCUUUGACGUUUUUCUCUCCUUUCAUCGGCCGGCAAUACUUUUUUAAUAAUCUCAAGUCUCAACUUCAUUAAUGAAGUUGUCUAAUUGUUAUCAAGAAUGAGAAGUGCGACGCUGAUAAUCACACCCACAAUUGAAUUAUGUGGACUUGACUAGCUUACAGAAUCUGUAAGCUACAGACUGCAGCAUCAGCCGUUGGAUGUGGAGUGAGAAACUAAACAAUAGAAGAUCGGAUGGUGGGAUGACGGGAGAUGUUUGUUACAGAAUCUGUACCAUAGACAGGUCCGAAUUAUGUAUGUUUGUGCUCACUUUGGAUUAAUUAUGGGCAAUGAAAGUCAUGCACCGACCCUUCGGCACAGCUGGUGCAUAGUGGCUUAUCCAAGGCGAAAUGGCCAAUCACAUCACAUCUCAUCUAGCCAAGUUCACAAUUAACUAAACAAAAGAAAAUCGGAUGGAGGGAUGACGGGAGAUGUUUGUUACAGAAUCUGUACCAUAGACAGGUCCGAAUUAUGUAUGUUUGUGCUCACUUUGGAUUAAUUAUGGGCAAUGAAAGUCAUGCACCGACCCUUCGGCACAGCUGGUGCAUAGUGGCUUAUCCAAGGCGAAAUGGCCAAUCACAUCACAUCUCAUCUAGCCAAGUUCACAAUUGUUUGUAGGACCUGUCCUUAGUCAUGUCCUUGUUUGUAUCAUUGUAUGUAAUUCUGUGAGUUGAUAACUUGAUGUGAUGUACUGCACGCCUUGCAGGCUACAGCUGGUGCAUGGCCUACGUACCAACUUUUUGCAACAAGAACAGACAUUCAGUAGACAAAUAGACAUAUUUAUUUAUAGGAAAAUUAUUAAUGGUAUACUUUAUAGUUGAUCUGUUUUAAAAAAAUGUUAUAAUAUUUUAAGGUGUAUCAAUCAUCCACUAUAAAUUGAUAAAAUUAUCUGACAACCAUCAAACCGUUAGCUGCUGUUUGAAAGUUAAUAGAAUUAUAGUGAAUUGAUGAUUUUACUCUUGAAACUUAACUUAAAGUAAAGAAAAAUUAUCACUUGUAUUAUAUGAAAAGACCAAAUUACUCCUCUGGCGUCAUCUUAUUUAAACGACAAGUAAUUGUUUAAUGGACGGCAGAUACAUUUUAUCAACUUAUGGUGGACGAUUAAUACACCCUUAAAGUAUUGUAAUAUUUUUAAUAAUAGAACAAUUAUAGGAUAUACGAAUGAUAAUUUCUCUUAUUUAUAUUCAGCAAGAUUUCAUCUUACUGAUUUAUUAUUACAAUGACAUGCUUAAUUUUAUAUUUAUAUAUACAUAACACUAUUCUUAUUAAUUUCUUUCUCCACUUACUGUCACUAUUCUAAUAGUAACAACUUAGUUCGUGAUUUUAACAGUUUCAUCUAGCGCUCCACUUACUGUCACUAUUCGGCUCUGUCUCUUUGCUUUCUACGGACAAAAGCCCAAGAGUAGAACAAAAGACGGCUAAUGAAGGAGACAAAUUGAUAAAUUCCCCAACUUAGGUUUGCCGACCCGUUCCGCCCAGGGCUUUGAAUUGGAGGAUUUCUAAUCAGCAAUUAAAUGAAACAUUGUCAUACAUUUUAUUAUUAUUAUUAUUAUUAUUACUACGGAAUAAAGUUCCCUCUUUCUCCAAAAGUUUACUAAAUUAUAAAUUCAAUCUCCUGCUUAAAGUGCCAUCUUAAAUAAAUCCAUUCAAAUUUCAAACUAGGAUUAUUCAUUUAUUUGUUUGUUUAAUCACAAAUUAUGCAUGAUUCGAGUAAUUAAUAAUAGAGUGCCAACUCUAAUUCUACCUCAACCACGCAAAAACUAAAUAAAAAUUAAAACAUUUUAAUGAAUACCCUUAAAAGUUUGAAUUAACAAUAAAGUUGUUCCAAAAUUUUGUGUUAAUAGGGUUGAGGUGAGGCACAUUGGUGGGGUUGCAUAUCAUUUUUCUUAUGGUAUAGAUGGCAGUUUGAAGGUUUUAAAAUUAUAAAGGCAGUGUAAAAUCUAAAACUGAAUUGCAACGGGCAGUUUCUAAAACUUUCAAAUUUGCAAGGGUGGUUCUGAUAUUAUACACGAAGAGAAAAUUAAAAAAAAAAAAUCACUGCCAAGGGGCAAGGGGAGGCCAAUACUCGUAUUUUCUUCUUCUUUUUUCGCAAACUACUAAUCACAAUUGACGAUCCUCUGCUAUUUAAGGUGAAAAUAUAUCGGUUGUGAGUAUUAUUUUGUUUGAUUUUAUUUUCUUUGAAGUCAAUUUUUCCUAAUAAACAUUCGUUAUAUUUUUAUUAGGUGUACUUUGUGAUUGGUUGGUUCAAAAUACAAAGAACGAGAAGUAAAUGGACGUGUAUAAUAAAAAUACCACUACAUAUUUGAUUGUACAAAUCAAGAAUUAUUAAUCCUAUAUCUAAGGUGAAUGCACUUGAAGAAAAGCCAAGCCAUAUUACGGGAAGGAAGGUUGGUGAAUAGGGUAAUUUUCAGAAACCUCCCUUGAGGUUUGGAUUAUUCUCACUUAGAUAGAAAGUAUACGCUUUUAUCCAACAGACAUUAACAAAAUAAAAAGUGUUCGUCUCUCUACUCCACAAAUCCAAAGCAACCAAGCAAAACCCAUUUCAUUUUCUCUCUAAUGCUUUGAUCAAGUACUUCGGCCAUAAAUGAAAGACCAUGACGAUGAAGCCAACUCUAUUAUCGGCUACGAAUGAUUCACGACCGCAAGUGAGUUUUGCUGGCAACUAGCCAAGGUAUUAAUUCUUUCAAUGCAUGCUAGUUUUAUUAGCUGAAAUUAGUAGUCUCGGUGAAAAAUUAGCAAAUGGAUCUUGAAAUUUUUUUAAGAUUGUUGCUGUUGCUUUUGAUUUUAGGGAUAUAUAAUGACUAUAUACGAUUUGUUUCCCACUCUAUGCAUUAAUUAUUUUCUGCUAUCAGAAUUUUUAUUUGUAUUGUUGUGAUGAUUGUAGAUGUUCACCUUUUAUCAUUAUUUGCAGAGAUAGAUUAUUAAUCAACCCCUUGGCACUAUUAGAAAGGGCAAGACUGCUAAUGACAAUCUAGUGUUUGAAAAGAAAAUUUUGAAUAAUAAAAAGCAAUGUGCAAGGCAUACUAUGCUUGUUGACUUGGGGAAGGAUGAUGUUGGAAAUGUUCAUUCUUAAUCUUAUUUGGUCAGUUUUUCUUUUUUCGUGCUUCAUGAACUUGUCCAUCUUGGUUUUGUGGUGAUACAGACAUUACCCUACUUUCAAAACUACAGACUUCUCAACUGCAACACACUUUGACAUUUAUAUUCAUAUAAAGACGUGGAUAAGCAAAAGGAAUGGAUUGCUACGGUUGGCAGUGACCCUCAUGACAAGCAAGAAGGUGCGGGAACAAAGCUGUUGCUCUUGCGUGUGCCAUUAAUGUUGCAGAGUCUCCAUUUGUUGAUAAAUGAUCAAAAUUAAUGCCUUAUGGAAUCUCUUGAUUUUUGUUGAAAGAGUUUUUAAAUGAUUGAUGAGGAGAUCAAAUGAUAUUUGCAGUGGUGGUUCGAUACUAAAGAAAGAAGAUGAAUGGUUUAUCUUAUAUCUUGAGUUUGAGAAGCAAGUUGAAAUUAUUUUAGAAGUAAGUUGAAAUUAAAUUUUAAAAUUUUUUCUAUUUAAAAAAUUCAAAUUUUUUCUCUUUUAGCAAAGUUAUUUUGGAAAAUGACAAGGGUGAUUUGGUACUUUCAUUGUGUUUAUAUCUAUUUGGCGCCAAGACAAAUAUGAUAUUAUUAACCAAUCGUACAUACUAUACAUUAAUCUUAAUAUAAAAAAUGUGUUGUUUUGAAGUCAAGGGUAUGUUGGUCAUUUUAUCAAUCAACAAACGGUCUAAGAGUAGAAAUACUAACGUCAGGGGAGGUUAUUGAGAAUACGCGAAUACUUUCUAUUUAAGUGAGAACACACCAAACUUCAGGGGAGGUUUCUGAAAAUUACCCUUGGUUUGAAUAAGCAAAACUGACAAAAUUCAUCAACAAUAUUUUUGAAACUUUUUUUUAUGUAUAUAUAUUUUAGUAAUUGAGUGAUCGAUGCAUGAAUGAAACUCACUUUCAGAUUCUAGAAUGGGGCCGGCCACGUGCCACAAAAUUAGUUGGAGUGGAGACUUUGACGUAUACCUGGUGACGUCAUGAAUGAGGUAAAGCUUAAAAAAGCCUUAUUCCGAUAUGGGAAGCCUCACAUAGUUACUAUGAGUUCUCCUGUUAGAUUGAAAAAUGUGACAAAUAAAAGUUCAAGAGGUUAUGACAAAAUUAAUAAACACGCUUGACUCAGAAAUUCUUAUCUGAUACUCACCCUCACCCUCACCCUCACUCUCAUAAGUAGCUGGCUUAGCCGCUGCUGUGUGUUGAGAACACAAGAAGAUAAAAAUGAGUGAAGCCAGCAGGCAAGGAGGAGGCAGCGAAGAACCCAGAAGUAGUGGGGCAGCUAACGGCUCUGGCGGGUCCAGGCAGCCGGUCAAUGCCGUCGGCCGCAGGGAGAGGCCGAUGGCGCCGCCCAAAAGAGGAAAGGUUAUCAAGACGAUUUUGAAUGAUCUGCUCUCUCGCGACCCACCGCCAUCACGAUGAUCGCAUCGAUCACUUGAUCAAGUGUUCAGCAUGUACGUGAUUUGGUAAUCAUGUUGUAUUACAGAUAGAAUAAUGAUGGUUGAUGAUCAAGUACUCUGUUUGGUGAACAUUGUAUUGCUGUUGGCUGCUUUGUGGGUUAUGAUUAGUUAUUAAGGCAGUGCUAAUUUAGUUAAUUGAUUACUUUUGUGCUAGCGAUCGAGUGUAUUUGCAUGUUUCAUGCUCUUAGCUUUCUUGCUCCUUGUUGCGUUAACUUUCCGAUUUAACUACUGUGUUUGAUUAAUUGAUUAUGUUAUCCAAAUUUAGGAUUAAUCUCAGAGCUCACAGCUGCUUCGACUACAUUCAACUUUUGUUACUAGCUAGCUAAACCACCCAUUUGAGAUUAUGUUUUCUUUUUAAAAAAAAAAAAAAUAUUUUCAUCAUCACAUUUGUUUAGUGUUUACUACCUUAGAUUCUGAUUUCUUUUAUGAAGGGUGUAAGAGGGAAUCUCUUUUCGUGUAAAAUCCUUCUGGUUUAAUUCAUCCGACAAACAGAUCUAAGAGGGAAUCUCAUUUUACCAAUUUUUUCACUAAACAAAACAAACAAAAAAAAAACAUUUUUCAUUUUAUAUUAGUUUCUCUCUCAUUUUUCCUCUUUUAUUUUGGUGACCCCUUCCGACCAACCCCUUAUUUCUUUUUCUCUCAAAUCGAGAAGAAUCGUCCCACGCCCUUUAAUUUUUCUCGUCGAGGAAACGAUGGCCCCGAAAGCCGAGAAGAAGCCAGUGGAGAAAAAGCCGGUAGGACGCGUCUCGUCUCGCGAGAUAGAACAAGAAGCCGACGAUCACGUCGAGGGAGAUCCAGACCGCCGUGAGAUUUGUCGUGCCCGGUGAAUUGGUGAAGACGCUGCAUCGGAGGGGACUAACGCUGUUACUAAGUUUACAAGCUCUUGAUUUUGUGCAAUUUUGGGCUUGUUACGGUUCCGUGUUCUUGCUAAAUUGGUCCUAUUGUUACUUUCGAGCCCAGCCUAUCCCAGGGUUUGCUUGUGACAAUGCUUCUUAUGGACAGACUAAUGAAAUUUAUCUUCUUUUAAAAGUAAAUAAAUUAAAUUACCGAAUUUUGAGUGGUUUCAGUUGGUAUAUGGAGACGAUGACGGCAGAUAAUGUUGAGUUAAAGAAUGAGUUUUUGAAAGAGUG
rnacentral:lncRNA from 1 species